rnacentral:lncRNA from 1 species
UGUGGGGUUAGGUUGGUUCAGUGGUGUGAAGUUGUGGUAGCAUCGUUCAAAGCUAAAAAAGCUAAGCACGAGAUGAAAGUUCCUCAAAACCCCCAUGUGAUUCUUCAUUCUUUUGCUUUUGCUUUGAUUCCUUUGCUUAACUGUUUUAACAGAUCUUUUUACCUGCUUUUGCCAACUUAUUUAUUUAUUUAUUUCGGUCUUUCUUCAUCUUUACUCUCUAAGAUAUAUAUAGGUGCUGAGGGUAGGGAAAGUUCCAACUCAUCCCAUGUUUUCUGAAAAGUCAAUCUAUCUUUCUUUUACUCCAUUUUCUUUUUCAGGAGCCACAGAGGACUUCUCUCUAUAUGUAAAAUCAAGUCAUAAAAUUUGGGCAUAUUUUAAUAAAUGCAUUAUAAUAUAUUUUUACUAAAAUGUUUUUCUUUUAAUUUUACAGGUAUUAUAUCUAUUUUGAUUAAAUUUUAUCAUUAUAGAUGGCUUGAGGAGUUUUUUUUUUUUUUUUUACUUUACCGAUGGUGUACAAGACAAUAAUUCAAAAUAAUAAAUAUAAAAUAAGAAAAAAAUACUAUAUAUGUAUUUGUAUUAAGAGUUGAAUUUUAUUUUAUCCUCUCUACUCAAAAAAUGGGUUAAUUAGUCAUGUAUGUUAGAUCAAAGAGCAAAUUGAUCUUUUUGUAAAAUAUUCUAUCCAUUCUUGCUACUAAUAAUUGGUCCAUAGACUAAUUUACUCUUUCAUCUAAUGUACAAGAAUUAAUUUAUCCGUUUUUUAAGUAAAGGUAGCAAAAUACAAUGUGACUUCUAAUAUAAGAGUUUUCAUGGUACUUCUAUUAUAUAAAACAUUAUAAUAUUAUGUAAAAUAUAAAGUUGAGUUGGGAUGUUUUUUUUUUUCAAGAAGUUGGAGGGCAGGUGGAUUGAAGAAAUCAUUUUGGGGUCGGAAUUGGAUGCUAUUAAUUUUGAGUUUAACUUGUUUAAUUUGGUUGACAUCCAUAUUUUUAUCAGUACGAGAAGACGUAGAUUUGAGUGCGUUGUAGUCCAUUAACCUUUUCCCUUAAAAACUUAGCUGUAAAGUAAUUGACAAAACAAUUUACUUACAAUAAAUUUGCACUAGAAUAAUUUCUUGACUUAAACAAAAUAGGUUCUCUUAAUCUCAAGAAUUCUGUUAAAUUGGUGUUUAAUGGCUUGCAAAAGUACAACUAAGGUGUUCAAAUUUCGGUUAAAAUCGAAUGAACCGACCGAAUCGAACUAAUUCGGUUGAUCUGUCAGUUAACCAAUCUAAUUCGAUCAGAGGGUGGUUAAUGGUUUCUUGGAAGUUCGAUUAUCGGUUAAUUCUGGUUGAAAUCGGAUAAUUAACCGAAUUAACCGAACUUUUAAAAAACCAAUAUUAUAUAUUACCAUUUCGGUUAAGGGUUAAGGGUUUAAAAAUUUCGGUUAAUUCAAUUAAUGCUAGUUUGGUUUGGUUAAACGAUUGAGCACUCCUAAGUGCAAUUAAUGUAGAUCUCUCUCUUUUUUUCUCUAUUCAAAAAAUAGUCUUCAAUAAAGAAAAAAGUGGAAGAGAUAUUCUCGAUAUAAACUUCUUUAAAAAUAAAAUCUCUUUAAUUAUGGAAAUUUCGAUCACAUUGAAAGUAUUGAUAAAGUCCUUACUUUGACAUGAUUCUUAUACAAUUUGCCUUCACUAAUGCACUGCCAAAAAAGCCUUCCAAGAUGCUCAAUUAAAAACCCCAAUAGUUUUGAUCAAAAGAUGUCAACCAGUAUGAUAAGUUACAGUUGUUUGCCAAAUGCACGUUAAAUUACAACUGGAGUUGCACCUGACAUUUAUAACUAGCACUAACAAAUUAAUUGAGUGUAAAUCUUUGAUUGCCUUCACUAUGUGUAUACUCAAACAUAUAUGUUGAACAUACAUCCAAUAAUAACAAAAAUAACCAACAAGCUAUUGGUUUAGUAAUAACUUGUACGUGGGUUCAUGUGUUGACAUGCAUCUAGGGUUUAAUCCCUAUGAAAUCCCUUUCGGCUAAAAAAAGGGAAAAAAAAACGUAUACUUUAACAAUUUUUAAGGUAUCUACUAAUUAUUUCAUUUAAUUUUUUAAUACCCUUCAUUUGUGUAGAAGGUUCUUUAGUGGAGAGAGGAGGUGUUGCAAGCAAGUAAAUAGAAUGCAUCAGGAGUAGCUAGAGAGGAAGACUGGAGCAAAUCUUAUAAAUUGAGCGUAGUAAUAGGUGGGGGCUUAUAAUGUGGAAAAAGGUUGCACGUGGCUUAGAAUAAGACUAAGUAUGAGAAUAGUUUAAAAGAGUUUUAGAGAUAGUUUUGGGAGUUAGAAUACUAAAAUUGUUAAAAAGUCCUUUCACAAGUUGCAAAAGGCUUCUAUUUAUAAUGUCUAAAAAUAAGAGUAUUAAAUAGGGGUAAUGACAAAUAUUGUAAGUUAUAAAGGCAUUAAUAUCCUUUUAAUAAUAAAUAGUUUAGGCUUAAUGGUGAAGGGUAAAUAAGGAAUAAGAAUUCACUAUGUUUCUGAAAGAAAAGAGAGAAUCACAUAAUGUUAUAUGAAAAAGUUAAGAAGAAACCUUUUAACUACAUCCUUAUUUGAUCCACCAAAUCGAUCUUCGGAACAUCCUAAGAAUCUUGCCUUAUUUUGAGGUUAUUUCCACUUCUUCCGUUUUUGUGAAGUAAUACCUUGUGAAACAUUUUAUCUAGAACAUCACUUGAAAUGCAAGCUAUUCUUAAUGAAGAAUUCUUCUUGAAUGAGAGUUGUUCCUGAAUAAGGGUUAUUUUUACUUAUUCCAAAAGUGAAUUGUUCUCAACAUAGCCAUCCUUAGUAGUGGUUGUUUCAAGCAAGAAUCGUUUUGCAAUGAUGCUUUUCUUUAAAGAGAUUAUUUUGAAUAAUGACUCAUCUUUAAAAAAAAAAAAGAAAAAGAAACUCACAAUUGUUCUAAAUAGAAAUUGUUUUGAAUUAUGGAUAUUCUAAACAAAAAUUGUUUUGAACAUUAGUUGUUCCCAAAUGACAACUAUACUCACAGCUAUUUAAACUAGAGCUUUAUUCUGAACAUAGUUAUUUUGAACUAGCUAUUCUUAACGACGAUUAUUUUGAACAACAAUUAUUUUAAACAAAAAAUGUUCUUUCGGAAAAAGAAUUAAGUGAAACAAUAUUUUUACUUAUUCAUAGUUAACCUUUUUAUCAUCUUUGGGAGUGCAAUUCACCUUAUUACUCUGAAAAGAGAUAAAAGAUUAGUAGUAAAACUAGUAUCUACAUUUUUUUUGUCGUAAUCAAGGUAUCUAUCGCUAAUGGCAAUGACUAAUCCUCUUGCCAUGGGUGAAAACGAUUAGUCAUAAAAUGUUUUAUUCCCUUGAGCAGAGAUCGAACCCUCAACCGUAUAAUAAAGGAUGAGAUGAGCAAUCACCACACUAUUCCUCAUAAUUAAAACUAGUAUCUACAUUUUAUCUAUCUUAUGGUUUCUUUUUGUGUUUUUUUUUCCAUCUUCAUAAGUUGCAGCAGGAUAUUUAGGGAGUGUUGUUAAACUGGUGGACAUUGUUGAGCACUUCAAAAAUACAUGUGGAUAAUACACAAUAUAAUAUGCAAUAAAAGUUAGCAAUGUCAAUUCAUAUUAGAGUGUCGGCAAAGGAAAUUUGUACGUGAAAGUGGUAAAAACAUAGAUAUUUAUGAGAGUGAAGGGGUAAAAAAAACCAUAUUAAUGGCAGUGCAUGGUGGAGCAAUGGAGCAAGAGGGUAUCUCAGUUGACUUCAACGUACGUUGCUUUCAAUGGGGGGAAAGGGGAAACUUAAUUUAUUUUUAUUUUUGCUAAAAAUUUAUUGAAGAUGGUUAAGAAAAGGACAAUACGAGGGACUUGUACAACAUUGAUAAAAUCUAAUUGUUGCAACAUUCAUAAAAAUUUGUUUUGGGUAAGUGGUGGGAGAGUCUAUCACCUAUCCAUAAGUCGGGUUAUUGGUUUGAAGGUUACUCGAAAUACAAAGGGUUUAGAUAAAAAGACGAUACUCACAAAAUGAGUUUCGGCAAAAAGUAGGCUGAUUAAAAAUAAAGACUAGACCUAAACUUUAAUAUUUAAGGCUCGAACUUAGCUCGACCCACCCAUUCUAUACUUUUGUAUUAUAUUUUUAUUUUAUGUAUAUAUUAUGUAAAUUAUAUCACAUGAAAUUAAAUAUAUAUCUAUGAUAAUACAAUACUAGGUAACAUUAUAACAAAGAUGUCUAAAUUUAAAUUUUUAAUAAAAAAACCAUAUAAAAUAUAAAAUAUUAAAUUAAAAAUAAUAUAUUUUUUAAAAAAAUAAUAUGAACGUGCCUAAAACAGAUUUGGAUUAACCAUUUAUAAAUCUAGGAAAAUUUAAACUAAAUUUUAGACACAUAUUUAGAGUCAGGUCGAACCAAGCUUAGACAAAUAUAAAAUGUGUUAAUAUUAUACAAUACUUGACUCACCCAUAAACACCUCUAACCUUUACUAAUUGAAAUUUGGGAAACUAUUGAGUUGCAUUUUAUAUAUUUCACAAGUAUGCAGGCUAGGUUUUGGGUUGGUGGCAUCCAUGGUUGAAGGUUUGGAAAUUUUAAAAUAUCAAGUUUGAGUCUUAAUUUAUAUAAAUCAUAUUUAGAUUUUUAGUUUAGAUUUGUUUUGAAUCUGAUAUAAACGCAUAUAUUUAACUAAUUUUUGUUUCGAAUAUAUUUUUGUUAUCAGUUCAUUUAUACAUUGUAAUGAUUGAUUUUGAUCGUAAUGAUAUAAACGUAUAUAUUGUAAAUAUAAGUAUAACUUUUAAGAUUAUAUAUAUUUAACUAAUUUUCUUCUAUGUAAAAUGCACAAAUUAAUUAUAUGUAUUAUUUUUAUUGCAUUACAUUAUUUAUUUACAAAGUUUUGAUAUUUCUUAGUAUUAAGUAUUUUUUUAAUUAAUGUCUACCACAUUGCAUAUUGAGAAGUUAUCAUAUGUCAAUAUAAACUAACGAUGUUAAUACGAAGAUACCAACUAGAAUAUAUACGCAUAUAUACAAAUAUGUAUUGUAAUGAUUAAUUCUGAUCGUAAUGAUAUAUAUGCCUAUAUUGUAAAUAUAAUUUAGACGUGAAGUAUAGAUGGAUAUUUAAGAGAGUAAAGGGAGAAAAAUCCCAUAUUAAUGGCAGUGCAUGGUGAAGCAAUGGAGCAAGAUAGUAUCUCAGUUGACUUGAACAUGCAUUGCUUUCAAUGAGGGAAAAGAGGGAAACUUAAUUUCUUUUUCUGCUACAAAUUUAUUGGAGAAAGAUGGUUAAUAAAAGGGACAAUAAGAGGGACUAGGACCAGAUUGAUAAAAUAUAGUUGUUGCAACAUUCAUAAUAAUUUCUUUUUGGGGAGACACCGUGGUUGAUUGAAAUAUGGGAAAUUAUUUUGUAAUAGUGUUGAAGUUUUUUAAAUUUCACAUGUAUGUCAAUGAGGUUUUAGCUAGAUGGCAUGGUCGAGGUUUUGAUAAUUUAAAAUUCUCAAGUUUGAAUCUCACGUUGUAUAAAUUAUGUGUAAAAUUUCAGUUUAGAUUUGUUUUUUACAUUUGAAUAUGUAAAAUUAAAUUAUUUGUAAGCACCAACUCCCUCAUAGACAAUCAUGGGGCUUUAGAUGGGCCUAAAAGUCUCAAAGUCAGCAGGCUCCAUACGCGUCAACUUAGUGGACCCACAUCACUCAAGAACUUGGCCCAUGCAUAUGAUUCAAAAUAAUAGUAUUGUUGUUGGGUCCAAAACCAAAUAAAGCUAAAACUAUGUUGCCUAAAUUAAAUAACUCCUACAAAAUCAUAGAUCAAUAUAGAAAAGAUGUAGAAUAUGCUUCGCAUUUUGGUUAAAUUAAAACACAAAUAGAGAGUGACGUCGUGAUAAGGAGUUUUGGAUGUCGCGACGACACCAUAGGGGACAUUGCAAUUUUCUUGAUUUUCUUCUUCCAGUCAAAUUCUGAUUAUUUGUUCUAGUCGAACUCUAAUUAGUGUAGAUUAUUUUAAGAUUAUUUGACUUACGAAUUUAGCCUAUAAAUAGGCCCUUUUUUCUACCCUAGAAAGAUUAACCCAUAACACAUUUAAGUAUUAGCUUUUACAAGCUUUCUGAGAAUUUUAUAUUUAAGUUUUGAGAGUUCUUAUUUUCAGGUUUCGGGAUUUAGCUUUUAUCUCCAUCUUUAUACUCUUCGUUUUUGCCGAUUUAGUGAAUUAUCUUUGCCUGUGGUUUUUACCCUCUUCGGAGGGGUUUUUUCACGUAAAAUUUGUGUAUUCGAUCUUUUCAAUUUUUUCGUUAUUUUUCUUGUUCAUUGCUUAUACAAGUUUAUCCCCAACAGAAGAGGUCAUUGUCAUCAUUUAAAGCAGAAUCACAUCUUAACCUAACUUAAACUUGAUAAACACAAACUCAAAAAUAGAAAUUUGAUUUCAUAAAUUUGAUAUUCCAAGCUUGAUACUAAAUAAUCAAUACCUACAAAAUACUUAAAAACAAAAAAAAAAAAAGAUAAUCAAUCUCCGCUUCAUCUCACAAGACACAAAGUUUUCAAAGCAAAAUCAAAGAUUCGUUACAAGAUCUAGCCAAAACAUCAAGUAAUGAUCCGAUCAAAAUUCCAUCAAAGAAAUAUUAUUUACAAUUUCAUUAUAUUACUCAAAGAAAUGCUCUCACCACUCCCAUUCAAGGACAGCCAAAAUGUCUCUAAACAUUAACUCAAAACAAGAUCCAAAGAAGAAAGUUGAAGAAUAAAAGAGAAGUUGUGACUAACCCUCUUAAAUCGCUUUAAGCCAAUCAAUUAUUACAUUUAGCUUUAACUACCCAAGUUAUCCAACACAUUUAUUUUGAUAGGAAUAAUACUCAUAAGGACUUUAAAAUAAAGUUGUAAUCAUUAAUUUCAAUUACUUUAUUUUCAUCAUGUGGUAGACAUUAUAACCAUGCCAUUGCCAACAACAUCCACAUGGUACCAUGGUCACAUCUCCCCAUUGCCCACCCAUACAUUCAUGGUUCCAUUUUAACUACCCUUUCCAUGACAUCUAUACAACUAUAUAUUAAAGGCACUAAAGCUUUUCAAUUCUAAUUUUUUUUUUUUUUACUUUUUAGAUUAUAAGAAUGGGUAAUUUCCAAUAUGAUCCCUAUAUUUUAUUUAAAUUUAAGAUUUAAUCUAUAUACUUUAAUUUUGACAUAAUUUAAUAUCUCAAUUUUUAUAAUGCCAUUAGUUAGCCUAAAUAUUUUAUUCUAAUUAAAAUGAUUAAUAUAUGAAUUUUUAAGAAUUGUUAGCACUCUUAAAUUUUUUUAUUGAAUUUAUGUCUGUUACAAUGUUUUUUUUUGUUACAUGCAUACCAAGUUUAUUUUAUUUUUUCAAAAUGCCUAACCAACACAAAAGAAUUUUAACAGUAUUAACAAAUGGACCUAAAUUUUUAAAUUCGAAAAGCAGAGAAACUAAAUUCCUGAAAAUAAAAAUAUAAAGAUUAAAUUCUAAAUAUAUGAAUAAUAAAAAAAUUUGAACAGAUUGUAACCUUUAAAGUUUUACGCUAUAAUUUAAUUAAAAAAUAAAUAACUUAAUUGUACCCUUUGGACAAUAAUUUGAGCAUACCUUCAAAAUUGCUCAAGAUUAAAUGUUGACAUUUUGACUUGAUCUCCAUAAUUGUUUUCUUAUAAGCAAAUAAAUGGUGGUCGAAUUUGGAUGAUUGAAGGAACUAUGAGAUCAUCAUGCCCUUAUCCAUUAAGGCUUACCCUCAUCCUUAUUCUUUAAACAUUAUCUUAUGAAUUAUGCUGAUGAAUUUUCUUAUAUAAGAUUGUAUUUUGAGAUGAAUUUUGGAGGUUUUUAUCUCAAAUUAUUAUGCAUUAAAUUGGUGAUUUUAUCUCCACAAAAUCUGCUAAGAGGAGACUUUUUUACUAGUUUAUAAAUAGACUGCUACUUCCUCGUUGAGUUAUUUGGGUGUAUUUAGACACUCCUUGUUCUUUUGUACUAGCAUAUAAAUACAGUGUUGAUCAGCUUCCUCAUUUAAUACUGUAUGUAAUGUGAGUUAUUUGGAGAGAUUAAUUUGUUUGCAGCUACAAUUAUUAUUGCGAGAGGUUAGAUUGGGCUUUUGCUAAUAGUUAUAUCGGAUUAACUGUUGAAUAAAAUUAUUCUUUGAAUGAAGCUUGCAAAUAGGAUUUGUGAAUCCAUAUUGAUUCUUUAUUUACUUAUCUUUUGUCUCAUGUUUUGAAUUUGUGUUUAUUUCUCUCUUUAUUUUACUUCUUUUUUUAAUGUGUUUAAAAGGUUUUCUUCGAACUUCUAUUCAAUCAUCUAUUUGAAUAUUAAAUUAAAUGUUGAAUGAUAAAAAAACCCGAAAAAACAAUUUAAAAAAAAAAAAGAAUGAUGAGAGAAGGAAGUAGGCAGCCACCAACACAAAAUCCCAUACAAAAAGAAACAAUAGAAGUCCCUCCAAUACAAAUGAAAAAUAUAAAAGCUCCCCUCAAAAAAAAUCUCCCAAAGAAUACAAAUAUAUAUAAAUAAAUGUAAGCUCAAAUAUGCAUAGUAAAAAGCCCCAUCAAAGAGACUUAAGCCAGUAACAAUAUAUAAUGGAAAUUAAAACACUGAAAACAAAAACCAUAGCUAAGACACAAGUGGUGAAGAAAAGACUUCUUGGUUUAAAGCAUUAAACUGAGGAUACCCCAUCCAAUCACCAAGCUCCACACCAUCUUUCUUAUGGACCAUGUUUUCUGUACUCCACUCUGCAAUAAUCAAAUAACAUCUUGUAUUCAUAUUUUUUCCCACUAUUAUUAUAAUUGGAUAUGCAAAAAAAAAAUAGCUUCAUCCAUUGAAAGCUAAACAUGUUUUUGGAUAAAAAUAUAUUAAAUUUGAAAAAAUGAAUUUAGACUAUAAUAUUAAAAAAUAUUUAAAAAAUAAAUUGGGUUUUAGUUAAAUAUUUGAAGUAUAGACAUAGAUAGAAUUAAUUAAUUAUAAAUAUAGAUAAAUUUCAACAAAAUUUAUAGAUGCCAUUAAUAUGAUAUGUGUGUGUUGAUCCAACCUGAGGUCUAAUUAAAGCUUUCCAUGUCAGAGUUUACGUUAGAAUUUAGAACACCCUCUAUAUUUUUGCUAUAUUAGACAUACUUAAAUUUUAAACCCCAUAAGAGAAUAUGCAUAUACAUAUACAUAUAGAUAUACAUACCGUAUCGGUUCCAGCAGGGCCUGGUGAAGAAGCGCCGAGGCUGGGAGUAGGGGCCUCAUUUGAUGGAGACGGUGGGCUGGAGGCCGAAGGUGAUAGUGCUGGAGACUUAGCUUUGGUCUUGCUAGGGGCCGGAGCUGGAACCGUGGCAGGAGGAGAAGCCAAAGGAGCUGGUGGUGGGGUAGCUGGAGGAGGAGUAGCAGGAGGGGGAGAAGCAGGUGGUGGGGUAGCCGGAGGUGGAGAAGCCGGUGGGGGAGUUGCGGGAGGUGGAGUAGCCGGGGGAGGAGAAGCUGGUGGUGGGGAGCUAACGGGCGGGGGAGUCGCUGGAGGAGGAGUGGAAACUGGUGGUGGUGAUGAAGUAGGAGGAGGAGAGGAAGCUGGUGGCGGAGAAGUAGUUGUGGGUGUUGGAGGUGGUUGAGUAGUAGGUGGAGGUGUGGAAGCGGGUGGAGUCGGCGGCGCCGGCGUGGAUGUCGGAGGAUUACUAGGAGUAGGAGGAGCUUGGCCUAAAACGCCAGCUACAGCAAUGCAAAACAAAGCUGAUAAGAACAAAAACUUAUUAUUAAGCAUCAUAUUGGAAACAAUGGUGACCCUUUAAUCCUGCACACCCUCUCCGCUUAAACUACGCCCAGCCGUGCAAGCAAAUGAGGGAGAAGAAGAGGCAAGUAUGAGAAAUGAAAAGAUGGUGAUAUUUAUAUAUAGGAUAUGGAAAUUUCCAUAUCAUAUUUCAAUUUAAAAUCCCCAAAACAAAUACCAGCAUUUUUAUUUUAUUACUAAUGGGAAAAUUGCAUUACUAAUCAUAUACAAUAUUCUAUAUUAAUUUAGUGUAAUUUAAUUCUUUCAUUUUUUUAUAAUGUUAUUAAUAGGUCCAAAAUCAAUAUCUCCGAUCGUUAGUUGCUGUCAUUAAAGUGAUGAUACGAAAUUAUUUUUUUUACUAUUAUUCCAUCAUACAAUCAGAGAUAUAGAAAUCAAUCAAUUUUGUUAAACAAAUAAUAAAUUUCAAUCUGAGUCAAAUGCUUAAAGUUGUUAAAAAAAAUUCACGUCAUCACUUUAACAACAUCAACUAAUAGCGUUAUCAAUUUGUACUUUGUAGCUACCAAUAACAUUAUAAAAAUAAAGGGUCAAAUUAUAUAGAAGUAAAGGAUUAAAUCUCUAAUUUCAAUUUAGUAAAGGGACUAAAAUGGAAUUAAACCUAUUAGUGGGGGUCGGAGUUUUUUCCUCGUUUGGUGAGGUAAAAAAAAAAAAAAACCCUAGUGGGGCAUAGUUAUAAUGUCACUUUGAUGAUUAUAAAUGAUGCGUUAGUUAGUCAUACUUUAGGUAAAAAACUGUGAGGUGGGAUUAGUGUAGAUUGAAAAUUUUUAGUGAAGGGGUUAAUUUAUACCUUCAAAAUUUUGCAAUAUUUGGUAGUUCCAUGAAAUAUUCCCCGCUAUUUAUCAACUUUUCAAUCACUCAAAUAGGUUUUAAUUUAGUUUUGUUGUGAAAUUUCUAAUUCAAGCAUACAAUGAGUAGAUUUUAUUAUGGGUCGGGUCGGGUUAUUAUAAAAUUUUAGGUGUAACGUCCCGAAUUUUUGGGCCUAGAAGUUAAAAGAUUUAAGCAUAGGGGCAGUAAGGAGGCCACACAUAAGUGAUUAGUUGUGCACUAUAGUGAUAAGAAUGGGCUUAUUAGUCUAGUGGUUAAAUGGAGUGUUAAUUAAGUUCAAGGUUUUUGGUUUGAGUCACUAUGUGUACAUUUUGGGAGUCUUUUUAUUUUGUUUUUUUUUAGUUAGUGAUAAUAAUUAAUUAUUUUAUUUUAUUUUUAUUAUUUUUCUUUUCUUUUCCACGUUAGUUCUCUCUACUUCUUGGUUUUUUUUUCUUUUUGUUCUUUUUCCUUGGACUUUCAAUUUGUGCAUUCUCUAUGUUUUUGAAUCGUUUGCUUACAGAUUUCGAAUUGUCGCACCUCUAUCGUCUUCUUCGUCGUUCAAUCAGGUGAGGGAUUCAAACUUUAACUACAUUGUUUAAUUUUGCAAAGUUUACGUGCGGCUUUUCUUGAAUAUGUGAUAACCCGAAGGUUUUUGGGUUUUGAUCGUUGGAAGUGAGGAAAAUACGUUAUAUUGUGAUAUGUUCUUGAUGUGGUUAAGGUUAGGGACAGUUUGGGUGGCUAAAACGGUGUUUUCGGGGCUAAUUUGGGGUGGUUUCAUGACCUCUCCGGCAGCUACACGGGCGUGUGCCGUGGUAGACAGUCAUAUGGAUUUGGGAACUAGGGUUUCCAGGCCAAAUUGGAUGCCACACGGCCGUGUGGCCGAUUUGGGGAUUUUGUCGAAAUUCACACGGCUGUGUCCCCUAGGCACAUGGGCAUGUGGGUUUGGAAUUAGGGUUUCAGAGAUUUGAAGUCACACAGCCUGGCCAUACGGCUGUGUGGCUGAUUUUGGGAUUUAGGGAUCCCACACGAGUGUGUGUUUCGUAACACACAACCAUGUCUAGUUGGCACACGGGCAUGUGAGACCCUCACAUAGCCGUGUCUGCCCUGCACCUUAUUUUAGCGAAAUUGGACAGUGAGUUACACAGCCUGUUCACACAGUCGUGUCUCUGCUUCGCACGGGCGUGUGCCUAUGUCACAUGGCCGUGUGCUAUCCUUCACAAGGGCGUUUGAAGCCUCACACGAUCUGGAUUGCUCUACACGGCUGAAGCAUACGGGUGUGUAGCCCUAUCUCGCCAAAUAAUGAUUUUAGGUCAAAUUUAAGUGCAAUCGUGACUCUAUGUAUUCCAACCCUCGACUGAGCUCUAGUGAGGGUAUUUACGACGCUGAUCUGAGUUUGGAUAAUGUGUUAAUUGUGAUUGGUUAUGUGACAUGUUUGAUUCUGAACCCGGGUUAGCUGGGUGAGUGUGUAUGCAACUAGUUCUGUCUGACUGUUUGAAUACGUGUCAUUGAUAUGCGAGCUUAUUUUGCAAUUGCUACUGAAUUCAAGUUACGAGUAUACUUAAGACUAAUUUUGUAACUAACUGAUUGGAUGUGAGCGUCUACUUCUGAAUAAUUGUUUGAGACUAGUAUUCUGAUUGUGUACAUCUGACUGCAUACAUACAUACAUAUGCAUAAACUAUUUUGGGCGGGAUUUUUGAAGAGAAGGUGUUGUAGGCCAAUUUUGGGCCCGUUUACACUUUAGGCCGAACAUACAUCAAACCCAUUUACAAUUAAACCCCAGCAUAACCCACAACCCAAACCCAACAAAUAAACCCAAAACCAAACCCAAAUUUAACCCAAUUCAAAUCCCAUAGACCCAAACCCACAUGUAAGCCCAAGUUGUUAGACCCAACUAGCUUGAUUUAGGGUUUCAAAAAAACUGAAACCCUAACCUACCCCCAGCGCCGCCAACGUCACAUCGCCCAUGCCAGUCCACUUGCACUACCUUUGCUCCACUGUUCAACCACCACCUGCAAAACAAAAGAGCACGCAACAGCAGCGCAAAAAUAGGAAAUAGACAGUGUAUGAACAACAAAAUCGGCUAUAAAGCCGAAUGGAAACCAAUGUAAUAGAAAAUAUUUUCGGUUAUUUUCUUCAUCAAUACAAAAAAAUAGAUUUAAACAUAUACAAGCAAUAAUUCGGGGAAAAUCAAAACACUAGAAUAACACCAAUUGGGCAACCAAAACAUCAAUAUCAAAAGCCUAAGGUGAUUUAAAUCUUUUUAUUUUUAUUUAUUUUUGAAUCAUACAUACCUAUGUAUUUUCAUAAAUAGUAUAAUAAAAAGGAAAAUAAAAGAAUAAAAAAAAGAUAGGAAAUUUUUACCUUUUCCGGCCACCGUGCGACGGUGGCACACGGCGGUCCGGCAACCAGACGUGGACGGCGACCGGCCUUGUGGCCGGAAUUCGCCUCUCCUUCUCCCCUCUCUCUUUUUUUUCUUUGCUAUGCAGAAAAUGAAUUUUUUUUGAAGAUUUUGGCCUUUUUAUAGCUUCCUAAAACGACGUCGUUUUGGGGGUUGCCCUUUAACCUCAAAACGACGUCGUUUUGCCCUGGAUCAGGUCGACCCGACCCUACCCACUCAGGAUCUGAGUGUUUUUGCUCUUAGGGGCUAAUUGCGCACGCGGUCCUUCCGCUUUUUCUAUGUUUUUCAAUCAGGUUUUUUAUGUAUUUUAAUUUGGCCCUAUAAUUAGUUGCGCUUUCCAAUUUGGUCCUCAAUGCUAUUGCGCAUUUUGGGUGGAGAGGCUUAUUUCGUUUUAAGUCCCUCCACUAUUUGUGCGCGUUGAAAUAGGUCCCCUUCCCUUCUUUUUAUUUCAGUUUUUGCCCCAAGCCUUUUAUUUUUAAUUCGAUUCGAUCCUUUUUUUAAUUACUUUAUUAUUAAAAUUAAUUAUUUUAGUAUUAUUGUUAUUAGCACUAUUCAUGUACAUAUAUAUUAUCAUUAUUGUUACUAUUACUAUUAUUAAUCUUCAUAUUAUUACUAUUAUUUCUUUAUUUUUAUAUUAUAUUAUAUUAUAUUAUUAGUUUUUACUAUUAUUAGUAUUAGUUUUAGCUUCAAUUAAUAUUUUUAACAUGCAUAUUUAUAUACUUUUAUGUAACAUUAUUAAUAAUUAUUUUUUAAAAUAUUAUUAUUAUUUUUUAAUACAUGCAUAUAUAUUAUGUGUAUAUUCUUUUAAUAGACAUUAUGUAUAUAUAAUUUUAUAUAUUAUUUUUAACUUUACAUUAUGUAUAUAUUGUUAAUAUCAUAUUAUUCAUAUAUUCUAUUAUAUUAUAUAACUAUAUUAUGUAUGUAUUUUUAACACUAUAUUACGUACAUACUUUCAAUAUCAUUAUUAUUAUGUAUAUAUAUUUUUAAUAUAUAUAUGUGUAUAUUUAUGUAGUAUUAUUAAUAGUUGUUUUUAAUAUUAUGAUUAUUUCUAGUAUAUAUAUAUUAUGUAUAUACUUCUAAUACUAUAUAUUGUAUAUUUCUAAUACCAUUAUUAUUUAUAUGUGUAUAUGUGUAUGUAUUUAUGUAUCGUAUUAUAGUUGUUGUUUUUUUUGUAUCAUUAUUGUUGCUAAUAUAUAUAUAUCAUGUAUAUAUGAUUUUUUUUAUAUAUAUUAUGUAUAUAUCUUUAAUAUUAUAUUAUUUAUAUAUUUAUGCUUACAUAUUAUCUUACGUAUAUAUUUUUAAUAACUAUAUUAUGUAUAUACUAUUACUAUAUAUCUAUUUAUGUUGCAUUAUCAAUGGUUGUUUUUACUAUUAUUAUUAUUCUUAAUAUAUAUAUUAUGUAUACAUUUUUAAAUACUAUAUUAUAUACAUAUAUUUUUAAUACCAUAUAUGUACAUAUCAUUAUUAUAUCUAUUUUUACCCCUAUUACAUUUGUUAUUAAUAUUAGUAUAUAUUUUAUUAUACGUGUAUAUAUAUACUUUUUAAUAUAGUAUUAUUUUUAUAUAUCAUUAUAUUUAUUAUUAUACUUAUUAUUUUCGCUAUUGUUACUUAUUAUUUUAUUUUAAUAUUAUUGUGUAUUAUUUGGUAUACAUAUAUCUUUUUGUACAUAUUGUUAUUUUUUAUUAUACGUAUAUUAGUUUAUUAUGGUAUUAAUACAUUUUUACCUUUUUCUUUUAUUGUAAAUAUUAUUUAUUAUUACUCUAAUAUCCUAAUAUUAUAUUAUAAUACUUUUUAUUAAUCAUCUCAUUAUUUUGCAUCGUUUAUUUACUUAUGAAUUUUUGUUAACAUCAUCAGUUUUUUUUUAUCAUUAUUUUAGAAACAUUUUUAUUUUAAUAAAUAAUGCAACGUACCGAUUUUAACAUUAAGUUUGUGAUUUCAUCGCUAUGUUGGGUGAAUCACGUUGGCUCGUGUUAAAAACGGGACAUCCUUCAAAAAAACCAAAAACUUGAAAUUUCUCGUGUCUUGGUCGGAUCAUGAUUAAAUAUUAAAUUAAACUUGUAUUUUUGAAAAUUAAGACAACGCGUAAUUAACAAGAUACUAAUUUUGGGCGUCGUGAGGGUGCUAAUACCUUCCUCGCGUGUAACCGACUCCCGAACUCUAUUUUCCUCUGGAUUUUCACGUAGACCCAAAUUCGGCCUUCAUUUUUGUUCAAGAAUAAAUUUUCUUUUCUAAAAAGAAGAUUUAUUAGGUGUCUGAUCACACCUAGAAAAAAGAUCGGUGGCGACUCCUUUUCUUUUUAAAACCGAAAUUCCAUUUUCAAAUAAUCGCCUCAACUAGCGACCGGAAAGUGAAAUUUUUACGUUGCUACAGAAGGAAGAUUGACUGAACUGAACUGAUAGCUAAUAUGUUGCCCCUAAUACCCAGAGGGUCAUGGGCGGUCCCAAUACCCUGAGGAUCGUGGUUAAUUUGACUGUACUGCGGACUAUCGCACUGUACUGUACAGAACAUACAUCAGCACCGCUGCUAUCAUUGACUAAACUGGCAAUUUUACUGCAACCUAACGAUAUAGCGGUCUACCGCAUUGCAUUGUACCGCAUGUACGUUAGCUACGCUACGUACUAUUAUCUGAUCUGGCAGUUCAUACUGCAUGUCUGUACCGCGGUUCACCGCAUUGCACAGUACAACCUAUACGCUGGCUUUCCUACGUAAUUUACGUGACUAGCAGUUUAUCUGCAUACUGUUAGCCCAAAUUCCCAGAGGGUCGAUGGCAAUCCCAAUACCCUGAGGGUCAUGGACAAUGCUGAUGAUCAUCGUUGUCGGGUAACCCGGGAUGACAUCAUAUGGGGUGUAGGGUUGGAUGGGCUUUGCGAGGUCCUGUAUGGAGUGUUUGGUGGGACAAGCUUAAAGCUUUUAUGAGAAGUGAUGGGGGACGGAGAGGUGUGUUGGCUGGAUAGGUGGAUAUUUUUAGAACUCAUUUGUACUCAUAUGUAUCUGAUUGAUCUGUUUAACUGAAUUGGAACUUGUGAAUGGUUGAGAAUUAUUGCUACUGUGACUGAAUGUGAUACUGUUCGAUUGAGAGGCACUUGUGCCUAUGUGAAUUUUGUAGAUUCUGAUUGCGACUGUCUGACUGGAUUCUUACUGUGACUGAUUAAGAUUUGUUGCUACUCUGUCUGAGUGGUACUUGUGGCUGAGUGUAUCUAACUGAUUGAGUUAAAACUAGUGGCAGAAUAGCACUAUGUUUGUGUAGCUGAGUGUAAUUUUUAAUAUGCAUUAACAAAUAUCUGUCUGUCGGUACGUCCGUUUCGAACGUACCCUUUGGUUCUGAAUAGCUCUGUAAGUAUGUUUUAUUUCUGAACUGCUUUUAGUUCCCUGUUUCUGUCUCUGUAGUUUAACUGGUUUGAUCUCAAACUGAGCUCGAGUAGCUCACCCCCUCUUUCGUUUCCCUUUUCAGGUACAAUUCUGGAUUAUGUUGAUGGACUUGGCACGCGAAGGUCUCAGACAGUCUCGCAAACAAAUAAAUUAUCAGUUUUGUUUUCCGUUACGAUUUUGUUAUUUGGUUAACUUUGAACUGUAAGGCUUUAUAAUACUGUGGUACAGUUUCCAUUUUAGAUUUUCAUGCAUACGUUUAUUUUGGGUUUUAUAUUGAGUCUUACUGUAAAUUUUAUUGACUGAUUAUUAAAUGGUUUUAAACACUUUUGGUUCACUGAGAUGAGUUAUUUUGUAAAAUUUUCCUACGAUCACUUCGGUGAUCAAUGUAGCAUUCCGAAUUCGGUCUAGACUUUUAGGCCGAGUUUGAGGUGUUACAUUAGGUUUAUUUUUUAGGUUCUAAUUUGACUCGAAAAAUAGGUCUAAAAUUUUAACUAAACCCAGUUUAGAUAAAAAUAUUAAACCCAAGUCCAAACGUAUUAAACUUUUUAUAUUAUUAUUUAUAAAAAAACAAAUUUAAAAAAUAUAAUACAUCAAAUACACUAAAAAUAUUAAAAUAGAUGUUUCCUAAUAAAUUGAAAAUACAUUAAAAAAGUUUUUAUACUUAACAAGCAAAUGCCUUUAAAAUAGUAGCAAAAUUAACAAGCCCAUGAUUAGGUCUAAUGAUGAGUUCUUUUGUUAGUAAUGUUUAUUUUGGUAUUUGAGUUUUUUCUGUCUUAAUUUGGUACUUAAUUUUGACUUUAAUUUUUUUCCAAUUAAGCACUUAAGUUUGGCUUCAAUGUUCAAUUUGGUACCUAAUUUUUUUUGUCCAAAUUAAUUACCUAUAUAUUUUUUACCAAAGCAUGUGUGUCAAACAUUUAUUGGAUCAUAUGAUGACAUUUGGCUUAGGUAUCAAAUUGAAUAUCAAAUUCAAACCUAAGUACUAAAUUGAAACAAAAAACACAAAUACUAACUUAAGUAUUAAAGCUAAACUCAAGUAUCAAAUUGUAUAUUAAUCAUUGGUAAACAAAAUUUCAAGGAUUAGCAUCUACUAAGCUUUCAUUUUCCCUUUUGCAUGUUACAAUUGAUAUUUGUUUAACGCAUAAACUUGGUAUCUUUUUUCCCGUAAUGAUCCAUUUUCAACAAUUUUUGUACACCUAUAUUAAAAUCUGAAAUAAUUUGGUUAUCUUCAACAUACAUAAAGCUGUUAUAUUAAAGUUUAUUUAUAGUUGAGAUUUUUAAAGGAUUUUUAUAAGAUAUUUUUUACACAUUCUUUCCAUGACAUUAAGGAGUAGGGAAGAAAACGUGGUAGUGUUAAAAGGAUCAGUUCAUCUAAACAAGCGGAAAGUCAAAAUAAGAAACAAAUUAAGGAGGAGUAGGGGACUCACACAUCCAUAACAUAUGCAUAUGUUAAUAUUAAAAAUUUACACAACGCAAUUGUAAAUGGUGAGACUUGGACUUCGAUACUUAAAGACCCAAGAUAUCGCCUUAACCAAUAAUGUCAACAAGAUCUCAUUAACUUUUUAGGAAUUUUCUUAACUUCACAUAUAGGGAUUAAAAAAUUACGAUAUAACUCAAUAUAAUAUUAAAGAGUAAAAGUUAAUCAAAAUUUACAUAUAUCACUCAUUUAAUCAUAUGUGUACAGAUAAAAGGAAGCCACUCAUCCUCUUGCCAACCCUACGUGUAACAUAAUUCACUAUAAAUUCCACCUACAUAUACAUACAUACAUAAAUAUAAAAGAGAAUUUCAUGGUCUUGGACUAGAUUGGCUACAAAAUUUGACAAACGGCAUGUGUAGGAGGAUUAAAUUCGAUGAAUUGCAUGAGAGUUUCUCCUUUUUGAUAAUUUAGUACAUGAGAGAAUAAUGAUGAUUGUGGGGGGGGGGGGGUGCUCCAUCGAAAUAGCUGGAAUUUAUUUAUUUUAGUGAACUGGCAAAUGUAAUUUGUACGCCAAGUUAUAAGGUGAAAAAGGGAGAAAUCAUAUAGAUUUGGUUGGUAAUGGUAUGUUGAUGUUGGAACACCUGCGGUGCACCGCCACAAUUAGUAGGCCCCUAGCCCCGCUGUCACCCCAUCAUAUGUGCUUUUGGAUGGAUCCAACAUUUUCGUGUUCUUUCAUUCUUCAACAUCAUCAUUAUUAAUUAGUUACUCUUCAAUUUCUAUAUGUAAUUUGCUUUCUUUUCAUUCAUAGGUUUUCUGUUUUCUGUCUUUGAUUUUGUCUUGUGCACAACUGAUGUCCUCCAUUUUUUUCCCCUUUUGUAGAAUUGGGUUUGUCACUUUAAUAGUGCCCGAAAUUAUUUUAUGGAUUUUUUUCAUCAUAUCAUUUAUAAUCUAUUUUUAGUUAUUUAAUGAUAUUUUAGUAAUUUUUUUAUGUUAUUGACACAUAAUUUUACUAAUUUUUUUACCCAGAACCCUCAAUCUUGAGUUUAGAAUCUUGAACCCCGAACCUUGAACCCUAAACUCAAACAUUAAACUCCAAACCUAAACCUUAAAUCUUGAAACCCUCAAGGUUUAGGUUUGAGGUUUAAGUUCAAAUUCAAGUUUGUAGUUCAGGGUUCGAGGUUUGAAAUUUAAGGUUCGGGUUCAGGGUCAGAGUUCAACAUUCAGGAUUCUAGGUUUGGGGUUUAAGAUAAAAAAAAAUUACCAAAAUUAUAUGUCAAUGACAUGAAAAAAAAAUUACUGAAAUGUCAUUAAAUAAUUAGAAAGGGACCAUGGAUGAUGUGGUGGGAAUGGUCCAAAAAUAAUUUCUCAUUUGUAUGGGAUAUUAUUCAUUAUCUAUUAUAAUUUGAUAUCUCUAUUUUUAUAAUAUUAUUAGGGGAAAGGAUUGUAUGAAACAGUGACGCCAUGUCAUCUGUAUCCCUUUCCAAUAAUUUUAUGCCAUAUCAUUACUUUUAUCCUCAAUUUCAGGAUUUUAUCCUGAAAAAAAUCAAAUCCAAAUUAAAAUCCUGAAAUUCAGGAUAAGAAUAUUGAUGUGGCAUAAAACUAUUGGAAAGGGAUACAGAUGACGUGGCGUCACUGUUUCAUACAAUCCUUUCUCUGUCCAAAUUUAUAACAAUGUUGAUUGCUUCACUAAAAUGAGAAGGUCCAAAAGAGUUAGAAGAUGUUAUUGAGAUUAAUAAAGGAGUAAUUUAUUUCGAGAUAGAUUAAUAUAAUUUAUUUGUGUUUUUUAUUUAAAAAAAAAAGUAAAAGGACGUAGUAAAGGAAUUUUCAUGCAUCAAUAAUUUAUUAUUUAAACUAUGAAAUUUCAAAAAAGAAGAAAUUCAUGUUGAAAUUGAUACUAUCAAGCAAUUUAAAAGUGUAAAAAUUUCAGUAUCAGCUGGAUAUUUAAUGUCAAAUAAACUAAAGAAAUGAGAAACACAAGCCAAUUGUCCACAAUGAUUAACUUGUUCCUAAAAAGAAAGUUGUACAUAGACUUUGCUUAUAAAUCAAUCCAAUUUUUUUUUAUAUAAAAGGAAACAUAUUACAUACUUAUAUUGAGUUAUUUGUACCACAACCCACUUAAAUUAUGAUUUUAAUUUUCGAUUGAGUCUUAGUUCAAUUGAUAUUGGCAUUAUUAUCUGUGGAGGAGUGGAUUCAAGUGCGCUGAAACGCAUUAUCCUUCUAUUUAAAUGUUGGGAAGGAACUAUAGAUUCGAAAGCAGAUAUGAUAAGAACCUAUAAUAAAAUUAAUGUAAUGCCUCCUUUUUCCUUUAAAUCCUACUUAAAACACACUUACUUAUUAUUUGCUAAAAUAUUGACAAAUCUAUAAUUUGAAUUCGAACAUUUAUAAUUCAAUCUUGGUCCCUUUAAUACAAAAAAUGUUGGCUUCACCCUUGAUCAAUUUAGUCAUCAAGUUUUUUUUUUUUAACAUAAAUUUCAAUAUAGAUUCUUAUCAUAUUAGCUCUUUUUGAUACAAUGCUUAUAACUAUCCAUAGCCCUUCCCCAAUCAUUAAAUAGUAGGAUAAUACACUUUAACGUAUUCGAAUCCACAUCCUCUUCUACUGACAACAAUGUCAAUCAAUACAAUUUUAAAUACGAGUGUACUACUUAGAUAAUCAUAUCCAAGGUACACAUACUUUUAAAAUUUGAUCCACACACUUUAAAUAUACCCCACCUCUGAUCUAAUCUAGCAUUUAUCACCUAAGCUGACGGUUAGAGGAACAAAAGAACUUGAUUGAUAUAAUAUCAAUAUUUUAUAGACUCAAUCGUACCAUAAUUAUGGACGUUUUCGCUGAGUUAACUCUAUAUCUAAAUAAGUCAUGGUAAACAUUCAAUAUUAAAAAAGAUAAAGGGAAAGUAUAAUAACCCAAAACACCAAAUUUUGGUUGGUUUAAUUUGCAGCUUUAACCAAUGCUUUUGCAUGAUCCAUCAAUUAGUGAGGAUUUUGAUCUUAAUUGGAGGGUCCCAUUCGGUUAUUAAGCUCUUUUUCCACCCUCAUGAUUGCCAUAACAUGGGCCCUUACCGUUUUACUUUGGAUACCCUUUUAUCUUUGCUUUGCUUUGCUUUGAUUUAAGGUUUUAUACAUAAAUGGUCACUUAAACUAUACCUCAAUUUUUAGAUUUGUCCUUAAAGUUUUUUUUUUAUCAAGAGUGGCCCCCACACUAUCAAAUUUAUCUCAUUUUACCCAAAAAGCGUACAAUAUCCAAUAAAAAUAUUUAAAAUGUGACGCGUGUCACAUUCUUAUUGGUUAAUAUCAUUUUUUGAAUAAACAAAAAUAAAAUUAACAGUUUAGCGAUCACUUUGACCAAAUAAAAAAGUUUUAAGGACUACUUUAGGAAUUUAGAUAUAACUUAAGAGUUAUUUUAUUAAUAAAGCUUUGAUUUAUUCAUCAAUUAACACUGAAAGAGUUUUCCUUAAUUUACUCAAAUGGUCUUUUUGUUUGUAUCACCUAACAUUUUGAAGAACAUCCUUUCUCUGUGUACCUCAUACAAUUCGUUAAUACGAAAAUUUUAUGAUUUUUUUAAAAAUAAAUUUAAUUGUCACGUUGCAGGUUACAAAUACUUUUAAAUAAGGGCUUUUUUCAUACAAGAAUACCAAUUAAAAAAUAUCUUCAAAGGUAUAUCAGUUAUACUCAGAUCAAAAUGUUUAAACUUAAUUUAUCUAAUUUCUUCGGCAGGGACCUAACCCAAAAUUGGUAAAAUUAAAAUUAGAUCUUUAUAAUUUUGAAGCAUUAAAAUUGAAUUUUUUUUAAAUUGUAAAAUUAUAAAUUUAGCCCCUAAAAAAAUUAUAAUUCAACUUCAGCCUCUAAAAUUUUUUCCUCUAACUUCAUCUCCCCAUAAUUCAAUAUAUUUAAAAAAAUUUGUGACUGACAUUACCAACAAAAAAUAUAUUUAUAAUUAGUAUUUAAUAUACAAUUAAUGAAAUGUUUUAAUUCUAUAAGCAAUGUUCAAAAUUUUCAUAUAUCUCAAUUUUUAAUAUUUUUUUUAUUAAAUCAUGAAUGAAAUAUAUAUUACCUUUCAGAUUUUACUUGUAGAGUCUAAUAACUAUAUGACGCAUUAAAUCAUUAUACAUAUAUAAGGUCAAGUGGUCCAUAGGUAGCUUAGAGUACAAGGGAUUAAGUUGAGGGUCUCUUAUCAUUUUCCCCAAAUGUGAAGUGAUGUUAACUGCUUAGCUUUCUCCUCUUGCCCCAUUCAUUUUCCUUCCUUUCCACAAUAUAUAUUGUAUAAGUAUUUAUGGGUAAUCGAUUGAGUAUUUACUCGAUUAAUAUGAGUAUUAAUGUCAAUAGAGGAGGACGUAGAUUUGGCGCAUUAUUCUUCUAAUCAUGGGUUGAGAGGCUAUGAGUAGUUUUAAAUAUUAUGUCCAAAAAAAACAGAUAUGAUUAGAACCUAUAAUAAGAUUAUUUAAAAAAAUAUUUAUGGGUAAUCAGUUUAUACAAUUUCGAUUAAAUGUAUAAAUCCAAUCAUUAAUCAUUAAAUUGUUUUACUUUAUGCCAUAGUAUUGUUUUAACUGCAUAAGCAUGUGGGUUAAUGAAAACUACUUAUAGUAUCUCAAUUAAAUGUAAUCAACAACCUCAACUCAUAUCUCCCAUCUCUCUCACUCUCAAUUAUAUAACCUAUUAAUAAUUAACAUUAAUAACCCACUUUCAAGUAGAUCUCAGGCUACCUGCCAUGCCAAGCCUAAAGCUUAUAAGAUGCUUGAAAAGGUUUGCACAAAUAUACAAGAAUAAGUAGGAUAAUGGUUUGGGCAAAAAUUAAGCUUAAUUAUUUAAAUUAUAGAUUAAAUUUAUCGAUAAAUCAUGUUAAGCGUAAUGAUAAGAUAUAUUAUACUCUUAAGAAAAGAAUGUAGAUUCAAAUACUAGAAACGAUAUUGUUAGGAAAAGUAAUCACAAAUCUCAAACAUGAAUCAUAAAAUAAACAUAUAAAAUACUAAAAAAAAUCGAAUUUAAACUCAUUUAAAAUUGUUGAAACAUGGAUAAUUUAACUCAAUAUUGCAACAGGAAUUUCGAUAUAGUUUCUAUAAAAUUUAGUGUUACAAUAUGAUUUCCCAUAGAAGUGUGAUAAAAUCAAUAAUGUUGACUUGUAUUAUUGCAUUAAGUAGUGCAUGAAAUGUAGGAUUCUAUUGUAAAAGAGAAUUAGAUAAAAUUGUAUAAAGUGCAUACUAAAAACUGUUUUGGAGGCUUUAAAGAAUUCUAUUCGCUUAAAAGGUAAGAGUCUACUUCAUCAGCUAAGGUUUACAAUGUAGGGUAAGUGUUCAAUCGAAUUAAGUGAAAAAAUUUUGAGUUUAUCGAGUUGAUGAGUCCUAUUUUAUCAUACUAACUUGAUUUGAAAUUUUCUCGAAUCGAGUCGAGUAAAAUGAAAUUCAAGCCAAAUCAAAUCAAGUGAAAUUAUUUGAGUUAAAUUAAAAAAUUAAACAUGUCAAAUUAAAAUCUUGUUAUAGUAUAACUAAUUUUAUGUUAGAGCACAUAAAUUUGAAAUCACAUAUAUUUGAAAACUUUUUCAAAGUAAAAUAAGAAAAAAAAUAAUUUAAUAUAAUAAACUUAAAUUAUUAAUUAACUUUUAUUUAAGUCCCCAAAAUUAUUAUUUUAAAAAAAAUUAAAUUUUUAACUUUCUUUAUAUACUUUAUAAUUUUUUUAAAAAAAUAUAAAAUUUGGAAUUUUUAUAAAUAUUUUGAAUUUUAAAAAUUAUUAUGAAAAUUUUGAAAUUUAUUUUGUAUUUUUUGUUGAAAGAGAUCAAUUUGCUUUUUUUUUUAAAAUUAAUAGGGACCAAAAGGGGUAUUUAUACCAAUCUAUUAUUCGAGUUAUUCGAAUUGUAAAAUUCAACUUGACUUGAACUCAGAACUCGAAUUACUUAUUCGAUUUAAUUCGAAAAAAUUGAAUAAGAUUCAAUUAACUUAGAAUUCGAUUUUUAUUUUAUUUUUUUGAUCAAAUCGAGUUUUGUUCACCCCUAAUAACUUGUUAGCAACUUAUGCAAGAAUUUUUUAAUUUUAAAAUAAAAGCUAAUAAGAUUAUUUUAUCUUGAUAUUAAAUGCUAUUUAUACAACAUAUAAAAGAUGGUGGAUACACACAGUUGGGGUAGACUUUUUGAGUGUUUCAUUUUUCGGGUUGAGGGAAUAUUUUGCAAGGUAAAUACACCUUGAUACCCUAGGUAUUAUUUGGAGAAUUUUAUUCACUUGUAUGCAAAGAUGUUUGCAAUAUGUGAUAAUAUUUUGGGAGAUUGGAUGCAAACAAUUGCAUACUAGUGAAACUACUUUUUAUCUACAUUUUGCAAGAUAGAUACAUUAUAAUUAGAGGUGUCCAUAAGUCGGAUUGGAUCCAAUCAAAAUUUUAUACCCAUUUGUCAGGCUAAAAAUAUUAAAAUUCGAGUCCCAUCUGGCCCGUUCGUAUUAAUUUUUUUAUAUAAUUUUUUAAAAUAUAUAUAAUACAUCAACAAUACUAAAAACAUUAAAAUAAAUGUUAAAAACAUUAAAAUAAAUGUUCCCCAACAAAUUGAAAAUAAAUUUACAAAUUGAUUAAUAAAUUUUAAAAAAAUAUGUAUACUUAAAUAACACUAAGAUAUGUAUAACUUAACAAGCAAAUACCUCUAGAAUAGUAACAAAAUUAAAAAUAAAACAACAGUAAUACAAUAUCCAAAUAAUAACAAUAAAAUAGUAGCAAUAUAAUUGUGAAAUGGUAGCAAAAUAAUGAAAAAGAAGAAGAAAAAAAAGAAAAAAAUUACAAUUCUUUUAUUUUGCAUAUUCGGGUCGGCUAUUUUCUAAACGGACCUUAUUUUUCAGCCAAAAAAGUCUUACCUGAGGCUCAACCCGUUUUCUAAACAAGCCUUAUUUUUUUGCCUAAACACAUUUUUCGGGCCUAUAUUUUUAUCCAAACCCUCCCACUUUUCAGGUCGGGCCACAUGUACAGGUUUAACCAUGAUAUAUUAGGUAUUAUUAUAAACUACUAAAUACUAAAUAAAAAAUAACAUUUAAAAUUAAAAAAAUGAAAAGAAAAAAAAACUUAAAUGAAUAUAUACAAUGUAACAAGGUACAUAAACCUACAUUGUGACAAGUGUCGCAACUUUAUUUUUUUAUUUAAUUUCUAUAUUGUUUAUCUAUUAAAUAAAAUUAAAAUAAUUUAAACACAAUUUUAUCUUAAUGUAUUACAAAAUUUAAUUAAAAUAAAUGAAAAUUGUUAUUUGGAAUAUAUGGAUUUUAAAAAUAAUAAUAAUUUUCAUUUAAAUAAAUUUUACAAAUAAUAUAUAAUGCUGAUUAUAUAGUUUUAAAUAAUAUUUUAAUAUAUGAAUUGUUAUCUACAUAUUUAUUUAAAUAUAUUACAAGAAUUAAAACUAUUUAAUAACAUAUUCAUCAUAAAAUAAAACGAGAAUUAUAAAUUAUUAUUAUUAUUAUUUUAAAAUAUUUAUUUAAAUAAAACUAUAUGAGCAUAGGUUGUAACAUUCUACAUAUUUAUAUAGGUAAACCAUCAUGAUAAAAACUAUUAUCAUAAAAUUUUGCACUUUUUAUUAUAUGAUAUGUAUAAAAUAGUUCAAUUAGAUAUGAUUAAUAAUAAUAUUUAUGCUCAUAAAAUUAUCAAAUUAUAUAUUACAAUGUAUUUAUAAUGGCUCAAAUAUUAAAUAAUGGUUUACGGGUUGUAAUAUAUAAUAGUUCAAACAUAUUAUAAAUUUGAAAUAUAAUAUAUAUUAUAUUGAAUUAUUAUUAAUAGUAGAUAAUACUGUUAUAAUAAUUUAUAGUAGUAAAAGUAAAGGGUGAGCUAACAAUUCAGUGUGUAACUCAAUCCAAACAAUCAGCACAAAUACAGAUACAGUAACAAAGAUGAAUAUAGAUACAGAUAUAAAUCCUACUUCAUCCACUACACACCAUAUUUGUUCAUCCCUAGACAUCAAUUAGAGUAUUAAAUACUCAUGCAACCUUACCCACCUAGAAGUGAGCGUAUGUCACUUUUCAGAACAGUGCAAUCAAGCUACCAGAAAUAAUGUAAUAAUCCGCCAGAAUUAGAUAAGUGUGGUCAAGCCAUCAGAACAAAUAUGUGGUUUAAACCACCAGAUAAGACAGAUCAUUAAAUUGUUAACACUUCCUCCAUCAUAUUAUUAUCCCACCUUAAUGCAUAUGCAAACAUUAAUCAGGUAACAAAUGCAUAUAUAUCAUACACGCUAUACGUAUCAGAAUAUACUAUCAUGCUUUUAGAAAUUGCACAAACAGAAUAUUAGAUUUCAUAUCUAUAAGUCAUACAUAACACAUUAUGAAACCUACAAAGUGGCUAAUCUCGAAUCGUACUUUAAAUACGGCCUAACUAAAUUUUAUAGAAAAUGAGCACACAUGCCCAUGUGACCCACACGGUCUGGCACACGGCCUCACACAUACUCAUGUGGCCCACAUGACCCACUUAACUUAGCCCAUGUGGCUCACAUGGUCGUGUGAUUUACACGGUCUGGCACACGGCCAUGUGGUGUCGACAAUGAAUUUUUUGGCUUCGCAUCGUUCAUUGUUUUUCGAGAUUAUCAUUACAGACUUGGUCGUUUUUCGAUACUAACACCACGAAAAAGAUUCCAGAACUUAAAACAACAUUUAACACGAACAAUUUAGCAACGAUACACUAAAUAUAAUCCAUUAAUUCAACCACAACCACUAACAUUAGGCCUUAACAAGCUGGAAAUCAGUCUUUUGGGCAUUCGAUUACUUACCCAGAACAGUAGUGACAGUCCUAAAAAUCUCCUAAUUCACUAGAAGGAUGUCACAUGCCUCACAAACUUCUCCUAUUGAAACAUCAAAACAAUCAAAAAAAUGAAUAUUGCAUAAUACUACAACCCCUAUUCGUCAUACGGAAACGAAUUAACCUUACCGAAGAAUGCACUUACAAGACUUACACUUAAACAAAAAUAUGAAUUCUUUGCUCGAACACGGCGCUACGGUGAUUACAUGCAAGAAAAUCAAUACCACAAGGAUUUAAACAUUGGACCUCUAGGUAAGCUGAAGUUUUACCACUAAAUCAACAAGCUCAUUCUUAUCAUUAAUUUAGCAAAAAUAAUAUAUAAGCUUAAUAUCCAAAGUCGGUGGUUGGGACAAAAAUAACAAAAAUUUAAAUGAAAGAAUUUGAACCUAGAACAUCACACACACUAACACAACACAUAACCAAUAAACUAAAUUAAUCACUUUAACAAUAUUUAACAAUUCAAAAAUAAGAAUUUUGAGACGUUGCUAAAUUGUAUCAUAUAUCAUAUAUCAAACUUACGAUACAUCAUUCAUAAAAAUUAUAACAAACUUACGAAAGGAUUUAAUGAUAUUUAAUUCUUAACGGGUAAAAACUUAUAUCAUAUAUCAUAUAUAUUUAUAUAUUAAGAAUUUGAAUCAUUAAUUAUAUAUCUAUAUAUUAUAAUAGUUUCAUCUUUCAAAUUUUCUUCCUCAUAAUUAAAGCAUAAGUUAUAUUUAUAAUAUCAUAAAUAUAUUAUAUUUCAAAAAUUUACACACAUAAUCAACCUAUACAUCGCUCGUGAUAAGAAAACUAAUUUAUAAAUAUGAAUGUACAAAAUUCGAGCUAAAUCUAGCUUCAAUUUUCCGGUGAACUUCUUUUGACUUUAAAUCUUACUUUUUCUUCUUCUUUUUGGCAAAAUAACUUAUUUGGCACAAAAACAAAAGUCGUUUUAACUUUUUUUUUCACCAUUUUUUAGCAUUUAAACUUGCAUUUUUUUGUUAAAUCACUCCAAAAUGAAUGGAAAAGUUAACAUUUUUAACUUUGCUGAUGUUUCGUACAUGUGGAUAACACAUCAACAUUUAAUAAAUCUUAAAAAAAUUAUAAAAACUAUUUUUAAAAUUUAAAAUAUUAAUAUUAUAAAAAAAUAUAAAUAUUUUUAAAAAUUAAUUAAAUGCUGAUGGGUCAUCUACGUAGCAAUCCAUAUGUAUGUCAUGUCAACAAAGUUAACAAAUAUUAAUAUUUUCAUCCAUUUUAGGAUGAUUUAACAAAAUAUAUAAAUUUAAAGACUAAAGAUGCGAAAAUAAUUAUAAGACCAAAAUGACUUUUUUUUUUAAUUGAAGGACGAAAUAAAUGAUUAUGUAAAGUUGUGAAUAUUAAUAUUACCAUAACAAUCAUAAUUCGCUUAUGGUUUAUUCAUUUUUAGGGUUUUCCUUACUAGGAGUCUAGGAUACUUGAAGGCAGAUAUUAUUAUUAUUAUUAUUAUUAUUAUUAUUAUUAAAUUUAAACAUAUUUUUUUAAUUAAGGAACAAUAAUUUGGUCCGGGUCGGUCCUUGGACAGUAUUGUAAUUUCCCAAGUUAUUAACAUUUGUUUAGGGUUUCUCAUAGUUAAGAAUUAAGUGGGCUAAUUUCCCAACUUAGAUUUGAUGAUACGAUUAAAAAAUAGGAAAUAUCAAAAUAUGAUCAUAUGAAUUAUUAAUACUAGUUUUUUUUUAUCUGAGUAAAUAGAUAAUUACUUGAAUCAAUUUAAUAAAAAUUAAUAUACUAAAAAAUACAAUUCCAUCAUUUUAAUAGUUUAUAUAUUUAUAAUUUUUAAAGAAUUAAAUUAAUAUUUUAUCAUUUUAGGGAGUUAAAAUUUAAUUUUACUAUUAUUAAUUUAAAAUUUUAUAAAUUAUAUGUACAUACCCAAUUUUGCCAAACCCAAAUACAUUUCAAACCCUUACUAACCCAAGUCUGUUUACAAUAUUUUCAGCCCAAUUAGCCUAACCCAAGUACUACUAGCCCAAUACCCUAAAUUAACCUAGCCCAGCAGCCCAAAACAAAUUAGCAGAGAGGAAACCCUAAUUCCACUUGCCUCCUUACUUGCGCCGCACGCUCUUCUGCCCUUGGCUACCACGCCCCACUUUCUUCUGACACCAGCACUGGCCACCUGCUCCACCAUGCCUCUGCCACCGCCGUUCGCCCAUACCCUGCAAAAUGAAACAAAUGCCAAGACAGAAGCAGACAGCACAAGCAGUAACAGAGAAUAAAACAAACAAUACUUUAAUAUGGGAAUCGGCUAUAAAGCCGAAAUGGAAAAUCUGUAAAAGGGGGGAUUUUUGCUAUGAAAACAAAGAUUUUCUUUCAAUUUUAACAGAUUGAAUACAAGAACCAUUCGAAAAUACAUAUACAAUCAGGGGCUCUAACACCAAAUCGGAGAAUCAAAUCUAAAACCUAAGGUGACUUUUCUUUCAUUUUUUCUUUACUAUUUUGAGUUUGUUUUUUACACAAAAAUACUAAAAAAAAUAACAAAACACAUAAAAACAUAUAUAUUAUUAAGCAAAAAAAAAGAAAAGAAAAUUUACCUUUUCCGGCCACCGUGCACGGUGGCCGACGCCGACGAGUCUCCGGUAACCGUCCGGCGACCGGACCCCUGGCCGGAGUCCCACCGAAAAUCGCCCUCUCCCUCUCCCUCUCCCUUUCUUUUCUUUUUUUUCCUUUCCCCAUCCCCAAAUGAAUUUUUUUUUAAUUUUUAACUUAUAUAGGGGACCAAAACGUCCCCCCCUUUAAUAAAUAAAACGACGUCGUUUUGGACGCGGGUCGGGUCGACCCAACCCGCACCAGGGCAGGAUCCGCGUGUUUCUUAGCGGAAGGGAAAUUUGCGUGCUCGGCCUUUCCGCUUUUCUGAGAUUUCACAAUUACGUUUUUUAUGUUUUGUAAUUCGGCCCUAGAAUUUUUCAUCGUUUUCAAUCUGGUCUCCGUGCUGCGCAACGUUUAGAUAGUUGGGAUUAUUUUCAAUUUUGGUCCCUCCAGGUUGCGCGUGCCUCACAUUUUGAUCCCUCCUCUUUGUUUCCUUUUUAAAUUGACCCCACAACAUUGUUUUUAAUUUAAUUUUAGUCCUUUUUCGUUAUUUUUAUUUCCUUAUUAAAUACUCUUAUUAUUUUUAUAUUAUUAAUUUUAUUAUGUAUUAGUUUAUGUUUUAUUAUACAAUUAUAUAUUUAUAAUAUGUAUACACGCUUAAUAUAUUUGUAUAUACUUAUAUAAUAUUAGUACUAAAAGUUUUUAUUUUAAUAUGUAUAUAUUACCUAAAUGUUUAAAAUUAUAUAUGUACGUAUAUUCUUCAUUAUGUUCUUAAUACUAUACUUUACAUAUAUCGUACAUUUUUGUUUCAAGUUUGCUUUCAUGUAUUGUUUAGUCAAAAUUGUUUUAUUACUCAUUUUAAAAUUGUUUCACAUACUUUGCUUUAAACAUUAUAUCUCUUUCAUAUUAUGCACGUCAUUUUUAACUCUAUAUUGUAUAUCACAAUCUCAUAUAUUAUGUAUGUACUUCUCAUAUUAUUAGUUAUGUAUAUAUUCUUUACAUUAUCUUAUGUACAUAUAUUUUUCAUAUUAUAUUAUAUACCUAUCCUUUUGAUACCAUGUUGUAUAUAUUUUCAAUACUAUAUUACAAAAAUUUUUACCAUAUUAUGUAUGUUAUGUAUAUACGUUUUAAUGUUUUUGUAUUAUCUUAUAUGUAUAUUUUAAUAACUAUAUGAGGUAUGUAUUUUUAACACCGUAUUAUGUACAUAACUUUCAACAUCAUUGUAUACACACUUUUUAAUACUAUGUUAUUUAUACGUUUUUAUAGGUAUCGUGUACAUGCUCUAAAUACCAUCAUGUAUAUAGUUUUUUAUUGUUACUAUUAUGUAUACAUAUAUAUAGUAUCAUUAAUAGUUCUAAUAUCAUGCUCCCAUCACUUUGCUAACUAUUAUUAUAUGUUUGUAUAUAUUAAUUCUUAUUUCGCGUUUAAUACUAUUGUUAACAUAUUUAAUAUCGCAUAUAUGGCCAUUGUUUUAAUAUUCUCGUCGUAUUUAUCAUUUAUUUCAACAUAUUUCUAGCCCUUCCAUUUGUUCACUUUUAUUUCAUAUCAAUUUUGCUUGGCAUUUCUUCGAAAAUCUUAUUCUCGUUUUCUAAUUAAUUUCAAUAAUCGAGGCAACAUAUCGACUUAACAUUAAGUCAUCGAGUUCAUCGCUAUGUUGGGUGAACGUCAAUUGACACGUGUUAAAGCGAUAUACCCUUCUCAAAAAACGGAAUAAACUAAAAUUUCUCGUUUUUUAAUCGGAUCACGACUAAAUUUUACAUUGAACCCGAAUUUUUAAAAAUCAAGACAACCUGUGUUUAUGAGAUACCAAUUUUUGGGCGUCGCGAGGGUGCUAAUACCUUCCUCGCGUGUAACCGACUCCCGAACCUUAAUUUUUCUCUGGCUUUUAACGUAGACCUAAACUCAGUCUUUUUCUCGUUUUUAAAGAAAAAAGAAAUUUAUUAGGUGUUCGAUCACACCUAGGAAAAAGGAUCGGUGGCGACUCCCCCUUUUAUUUCAAAAUCGAACUUCAGUUUCCAAACUUUUUCACUAGAUCGCCACAAUUAGCGACCCCGAAACCAAUUUUUACGUCGCUACAUUAUAAAUGAGACUAAAUAGAAAAUUUUCUAUUUUAAGAAGGCUCAAAGACCUUGCCAGCCUCCUUGACUUCACCAUUGAAAUCUAGAAUAUACUCCUCACUAUGCUUUGGAAAAUUAAAGAUUUGAAAUUAUAUUAUUGUGUAAUAGAUAUAAUUAAUUUUUAAAUAUAUAAAUAAAGUUAAAGUUAAAAUUAAAUCACUGUGAUAAAUUGUAUAGAAUAUAGAUGAUUUAAGACAUGAUGCAAAUAAAACAUAGUUAAAUAAUUAAUAUAUAGCAUGCCAUAAUAAUAAAGGUGAAUCUAGAGGGUUCACAGGGCUUGAUUCUCCUAAAAUAGAAAAUUAUUAUUUAGAUUUUUUUAAAAAAUUUAAAAUUUUAAAUUAAUAAAAAUAAAAUUGUACUUUGAUUUCCCUAAAAUUAUAAAUUUUUUAUUCAAUCCUUUUAAAAAUUAUAAAGAUAUAAACUAUUAAAAAUUAAAUUUUCAUUUGGCCCCCUAAAAAAAUAUUCUGGCUUCGCCCCUGCAUGAUAAUAAUAUUAAUACAACACAAAUACACAAAAAAAUCAAAAUCUAUACAUAACAAUUAUUUACUUGUAUAAUUUUAUAAUAUUUUGAAUACAAAGAAAUAACACAAACAAUUUUCUCUAAAUUGAAUCACUCAAAUAAAAUAUUUUAAAUAUCUCAUGAUUUUAAAAUAUACUAUAAGGAUAAUUUUUUAAAAAUAAUUUAUUAUGAUAAAUCAUAUAAAUUAAAUAAAGAAACAAUACUAAUCCAACAUAAAAGAAAUGUAAUAAUAAUAUCAUAAAAAAUAUGUUCUUAGUUAAUGAUUUAGUCUGUACUUUGAGAAUUAGAGAAAACUCGAGUUCGAGAUUCAAUUAUAUAUGAGAAAAGUAUUAACAACCUCACAAUAACUUAAUACAUGUUGUUUUAAAAUUUUGAACCCAGUAUUUAAAUAUGAUCCCGUAAAAUUUAAGAAUGCAUGAAAUUUAUUAAUUAAGUGAAUUUGAUUUUGGAAAUAAACAAAAUACUCAAUUUAAUUUUAUUAUAUUUUUUAAAAUUUACUCACAUUAUAACAUUAAGAACAACAAAUGAGAGCGUAUCCAGUAAUUUUGGCAACAAUCUCUUUAAUUUUCGUAAUGCUAAAAUAUUACCUUUUUUUUUAAAAUUAAAUCGAUGUAAAGAAAUUCAUAGGUGCAUUUUCAUAUAAAUAAUUGAAUUAUUCAAAAUUACAUGCAUUUAGAGAUAAAUAUUUUACCCAGCACUACGCUUGUUCGACUCGUAAAAGGCAAAAAUUAGGAUUCAAAAUUAAAUUAUAAUUUUUAUGAUAAUAAAAAUUACUUAGGACAUCAUGUUCUCAAAAACUCAAACCUUUAUCAACAUAGAAUUGAAUCGAAUAUCGUUUUCAUCUUCCCAAGUUUCUAUACAUAAACUAUGAACACGGAAUUAAACAAUACAAAAAUGGUAUUCUUCUUCCAUUGACAUUUGAUAUCAGCUUCAGAAAAGGCAAAAGACAAGAAUAAAGAGAUAAAACAAAAGAUUAAAUCAAUCCUAUAUCCUUGACUGACAUAAUUUACCUUAAAAACUCUAUACUUUAACCAAUCCCACCUAUAUGAUUUUUCUGUUUUCCUAUACAUAACUUAAAGCUUACUUGGAACCAAGUCAUUGUAUUGUAUUUCAUGUAAUUUUUUGAAGCAGAUCCUCAUCUCCUCCAUCUGCAUUGAAGGAAUAGAUGUCGACCGGGGCCACCGUGCAACCCAUGGCAUUCUGCUUGGUUCUUUUAUUACAAAAGGAGCCUCGGUGUUUGUCUAGAUAGAUUACAAUCACGGUGAUAUCGUCGUGAAAAUGGCGCCUUAUCCCCUUUUUUAUUUUCUUGAUGUCACUGUAUCUCAUCUCCCUUUUCUUUGCAACUUCUUGAAGUACAGCUCUUACCAAUCUCCUGGCAAUACCCUGCAAGCAUUCAAGCAAACAAAUAUCAAUAAUGAAAUGCAUUGCAUUUCCAUAGGUUUCAUUAGGUUAAUGGAAGAACACGAAUACUCACGGCUCUCGGGUUUUUGAAAACGAUGUUUACAGCAGCUUCAUCACUCAACUGCUCCCAUAGGCCGUCUGAUGCAAAGAUGAGGAAUUGAUCCUGUGGCUUAAGCUUUCUAAUAAGGAUCGUUCUGCUGUAAUAACCGGCCUUUUAAGAGGAACAGGGUUUCCGAACUGCUGGAAGAUCGGAUCUCUAUAAAACUCAGGUUUCUUCAGGUAAACAUCACCUAUAGAUCUUGACACCUGAAAUAAGAAAAACAAAAAUGGCUUAGACCAGCAUGAUCACUCACAUGCUCAAAGAUCAUGUAUUAAUCAAUCAUCUCCAGUUCUACAAUCCAAUGUAAGAUAAAAGCUAAUGCAUCUUAUUCUCUCGAUUCGUGAAUGGAUCGAAGUAAAAAGCUCAACUUGCCUACCAAAGUAAAGGGGAACAACAUCACAAAAAGAGAAGAAAAACAUAAAAACGAGAGAGCAUCGAUUCCUUGCAGUUACAUAAGCCUAGCUUUAUGCUUCAGGGGCCUGCAUUUGUCCAUCUCAUGCAUAUAAGGCAUACUAUAUGGAAAAUAGCAGCAUGAAACAGUACUGGAAAUCAGACCAAAAUAUUCUUGGAAAAGUCGAAAAACUCAGAAUUAUAACCAUUUUUUAGAAUGAACUUCCAUUCUAAUGCACAAUGUAUACAUCCAUAAUUAUACCUCUCCAUCAAGCAAAAAGAAACAAAAUGGUUGCAAGCAAUGCCUACGAAGAGGAAGUUAAUUGGCAACUAAUUCUAGAAUCAACAUAUUGAUCAUUUCUCAAGCAGACUAGUUUUGAACUAAACGAUUAUAAAUCAACUUGUCAAUAAAAUUGUACCUGGAUUAUGCCCUUAAUCUUCCAAACUCCGCGGGUGUAAACGACUAUAUGUGAGUCAUCUGGAUGAAGUUCCUCGACCUCCUUUCGAACUUCCUCGACUCCAACAUUAUGAUCAGUUGACAACCUCUCUGCCACUACUGUGUUUUCCUUAUCCCCCGAAGCUUUCCUGCCAAGAACAGCUCUCGAGUCACCGAGAUUCGCCACGUAUAACACAUCAUUCGAAAUUGCACCAACUAGACAGCAUGAUCCAACCGAAGCAAUUUGAGGCCUCACGGACAAUGAUCGCUUCACCAAACGCAAAAACUCCUCUUCAGUGGCAUUGAAUGCCUUCUUUAUCACAUCUGCAGAUAAUCCCCCUUGUUCUGUAGCAAAUUCUACAAUGAAUAAAGAAAAAAAAAUUUAAGGGUCUCCAUCAAUCUUUUUUAGAAUCCAAGUGCAUGCUUAUCACUGAAAAGUGUGCAAAACAAAGAAAAAUAAAUGACCUGAAAAAUGCCAAAACUUGAACUACACUUACUAAUUAUUCCGAAAAAUUCAAGUCCAGACAACCCCAAGUAGAUACAAAUUUAGACAAAUAGUUCAUAUUCUCUUUUCCCAUCAAAACAUAGUGCUACAUGACUGUGGAGCGGGGCAAGAUAGAUAUUGUCAAAUUCAUUACUGUUCCAUUGCUGGCAUGAUCUGCCUCGACCCCACUCUGCUUCGCCAUAAAUGUUAAAACUUGAAUAUCAUUACUUUUAAUAUGCAUAAUCUAUCAAUACCUCACCUAAUAUAUACAUUUUUACUCGUUUUAAAAGUUAAAUAUAUAAGAAUAGAGCAAAUAUCAAAAUUAAGUGCCCCAUUGGUCCCUCUUUUACUGUUAAAAAUUAGAAAAAGAAAGUCUAUUUGGAGUCAUCAGUUCGAAAUCUAUCAAACUAAAUACAUAUUUGAUGAUUCCAUAGACAACUUAUGAUUUUCCUGACAAGGUCAUAUCUAUAUACAUACAUGAUCACAUGUUCAUUCAUGUCAUACAUACAUAGGAAUGUUGAAAUAAAGAGGGAAAAAGGGAAUUACUGUGGAGAAAAGGGAAGAGAUGUUUGUUAACAAAACGGGAAGCUUCCGGACCGCCAUGACCAUCGUAGACGCCAACGUAGGUAGCAAAAGGAGAGGUGAAGACUUGGCUUUGAUCUUCGAGACAGUUGUUAGCCUGCACGACGGCGAUGGAGAAAUCACCGGAAGCGUGGGGUUUAAGGUCAGCGUGCCACAUGAGAGCAUCCCCACCAGCUCUAACGCCAAGACAACGUUCGAGCGGCCUGGAAAGGGACCGUAACAUCAUCAUCAUCGUGUUUAAAAAAUAAUAAUAAUCCCUUUAUAGGGGAUUUGAUUAAAUGAAAACCUUUUCGAUGGUUUCAAUGGGGGGUUUCACUUUGGGGGAGAGGAAAAUGGAAAGAUAUUAAGAGGGAAAGAGAGAGUAGAGAGUGGGGUAAAGUGAAUGGAAAAGAAAUGCCGCGUAAAGAGAGGCAGAUGAUGAUGACCAACGACCCCCGAUGCUUGCUGUAAUUACUUCCCACUCUACGCGUUAACCACCCUUUUUCUUCUUUUUUGACUUUUAAACCCAAAUCCUUUUCUUUUAUUUUUAAUUUAUUGAAUGGAGACACUUAGGUCUAAUUUAAUAUUUCAAUUUUUAAAGAAUCGUAUCAGUGAUUGAAUUAUGUAUCUACUUAUUCUCGAUUUAAUCGGUUAGUUUAGCUCAAUUUAGGCCUGUUCAGAUUAUUCAACUUAAAAAUUUGUUCGAAAAGUGAGAUGAUUUAGGUAAAAAUAUAUGUUUAAAAAAUAAAUUUUAAUAAAAAAAUAAGGUAUAUUUUUUAAAUAGAUUGAGUCUUAAUAUUUUUUUGUUCAGGCUCAACUUGAUCUGGCUCAAAUUUGUAAAAAAAAAAAAUGUUGUUACUUUGUCAUUGUUUUACUGUCAUUUCGCUAUUAUAUUAUUACUAUUUUAUUGUUUUUGUUUAGAUAUUGUAUAAUUAUUUUUUUAUUGUUGAUUUGGCUACUAUUUUAGAACCAUUUGCUUACUAAGUUGCACUUAUAUCUUGGUGUUAGUUAAGUAUAAAUAUCUUUUAAAAAUUUGUUUUCAAUUUAUUGGGAAACAUUUAUUGCUCCAACUGACCUAUGGAUAGCUCUAGUUCAAUCCUUUUGCCCGAAUUGAUAUAUCAAUUGAUUUAUUGGUUCAACUAAUUCGAUUAGUUGAUUUUAUUUGAUUUGAUUCAAAAACACUAAGUGUUAUUUCAAGUUUAACUUAAUUUAUAUUUGUGUUGAUAGUUUAAAUUAUUUUAAUUUUAAAUCAUUCAAAUUCAACACUUAAUUUUUUGGGUCAGAUCGUUUUAGGACUAUUUCAUAUUAUAAUUUUAUAAAAAGGAAGUUGAACUGAAUAAUAUUUAAGUUUUUGAGUUGAAAUUCAAAUCAAUGUUAUUAAAUUGGGUCAUAAUUAAUAGGUGUACUAGAAUCUAAUUACAAAUAUAUAUCUAUAAGAUAAAACCAAAAAUAAAGGAUUAACAUCUGACCAAGUAUUGACAAUGCAUUGUUAUCCACAAAUUUAAUUAGAUACAAAACAAGAUAAACACUGUAAUGUGAAUUUCGUAUGUUAACUUAACGGUUAGGAUAUUCAUCGCUUCAAAUGUGAUUUGGGAUUGAGUCACAUUAUCUCUAAUAUGUCCUCUACCAAAGAAAAUGGAGGACUAAAGUUUGAAAUCUUAUUUAGUAUUUACAGCCAUGAUCAAUUUCUCUUUAUGAUCUCCACCCAUACAAUAAAUGUGAAAAGUGUAGCAGUACGAAUACCAUGUUUUUAUAGGGGCCGCCAUUCAAGAAUAUAUUACUUCCUCUGAACCUGACACUAAGGCAUGGAUAGCAACUUACAAUGUAUCAAAUUAAACACUAAAAUUAAACUCAUAUAUCAAAUUGAGAUUUAAAAAAAAACACUCAAAUACAAAAUUUGACAUUAAAAUCAAACGCAAGUACCGAAAAAUAUAUUAAUCCAUAUUCAUAAACCUUUUUCUUUGUUUUUGCACCCGUCAAAAUUCCAAGACUUACAUAUCUCUAAUUAAGAGCAUCAUCAUUUACAAAAAUUAAAAAAUUAAUCCCUCUACUUUAAUUUGUUAUAAUUUGUCCCACGUAAGUUAUAACAACCGAAAAGUUAAUCUAAUUAAGUAAUAUUGUUAAACCUUAUCAUUGAAUUGUUUGUUUGGAAACCAGCAAUUUAACAACUUAUAUGCAACAAAUUAACAAAACUCAUUUGUUCAAGUUCAUGUUUUGAAUAACACCUGGACUAAAUUUCCAAUUUUCAUAUGCUACAAUGACUAAAUUUUGACAAAUUAAAGUAGAGGGACCAACUUCUCAAUUUUCAUAAAGUAGGGGAUGAAAAUCAUAAUUAGACCAUGUAUAUGUUCUAUCGUGUGAGUUGGGGCCUGUUUUAUAGUAUACUUCUACAGUAAGGACAGUCCCCACACGUUCUGAGCCAAGGAUCUAAGCAAGCAAAGUGAAACCUGUGCCCACACGGCAGCUGAGUAAGCACAUCUCCUUCUCCGAAGCUUUCAAGGCAUAUACUGCAAUCUCUUGAUUCCCUUGAUGUCUUCCUUUCAACAUUGAUGUCUUGGCUGCGGAAAAUUUCCAGCGGCAAACGGUCCAGAGCCUCCUGAGUAAGUCCAGGAGGCUUCUUGUUUGUUUCUCGUAACAAUUCGAAUCUUUCUGCUUCAGAGGUUAAUGGGGAACCCCUAGCUGCCAACCCUGUAGAGAGUUCACUUAUGAUCCUAAAAUCAUCGCGCGUUACAUGCUCCCGGUGGGAAGCAUUAGGUGGAGCUCUAUUGCUUCGCCUGAAGAAAACAACAGGAAGAAACCGUAAUGAGAGGGAAAAGAAAAGAUGUACAAAAUGUUUAAAUAGCGGUUAAUGCAGGACCUAACAUAUAUGUGUCCAUUAUUGAAUGCCACGUGCAAGUAAAAUUCAGGAUCGAGUGGUCCACAUGCUUCUCUCAAGCAGUAGAUGGUAGUUAGGAAACGAGUAACACUAAUUCGCUGUGUACAUGAAGUGGUACCAAAAGUGGUCUGGAUAGUCAUAGUGGCUAAUGAUGUUACUACUUAGAACCUAUGUUACUCAGAGUCAGGCAUGAGUUUCAGAUAUGGAUAUGUAUCCAGUACAGGUAUAAUUACUUUUUCUAAGUUUUUCCAUAUAUUUAAAAGAUCCUUGGAGGUCAUAUCCUCGUAUUUGUGUGUCAGACACGAGUGUCAAAUGAAGAGUCCGAGCAACAUAGCUUAGAACCACUAAUAUUACCAUAGAAUAGGAAGCACCAGCAGUGGGACUGGACCAUAUUGAUAGUUAGCAAUGCGAGAACAACAGGCACUAAUGGGCAGAAAGCACCAAUAACAGCAGUGGGCCUGGAAAUUAAGGUACUACUGGUAGGUAAGGAGUGACGAAAGCAAUAUCAGCUUGAAUGUAUAAGCAGAAGUGGGACAGAAAUUUCAAGCAUAAAAACAAAAAUUCAAUCUAUUCAAGAAUAUAUACAUAUAGAGCGAGAGAGAGACUAAAUUCAACUUAAACAUUUUCAAGGAAAAAAAGAAAAAGCCUGCCGAAAUAUGAUGAUUAUGUUAGGCAAUUCCAUAGAAGAAAGUUCAAAUUCACUAGUGACAACCCACCCAACUGACCAGCUGAAAAGUCCAUGGUAAGUUGGAAAAUAGUUUGGACCGAGUGAAAUUAGUCUCAACAUUAACUGGCUACAACCCCUAACAGCUCUACCAUAUGAUACGGUAUCUCUAUUCUUACUGCUAAACCAAGUCAGACUCCUAGUACCCCUAAUACAAGACUACAUAUUUAUCAUUUGGAUUCACUAAUAAUAAGGUAGCACAAUGAACUGCAAGGCACUGAUUCUUCCUACAGGUUACGAUGCAAAUUGCUCAUAUGAUAGACACUUCUUUUGAUCAUAUUGCACCCUCAAUAGAUCCACAAAAUCAAAGUUCAAGAGCAAAAUCAUUCUGAAUUUAGGUAAAACUUUCACAGACACAGAGCUCCACAUGACUUGUCUAUCCUAUCAUCAAACUUCAGAAAUAAGUAAUAGAGAAGAGAUGUGCUGUGCUGUGCUGUCUUUAAAAAAUGAAAUUUGUGACAGACCAAGAAUAGUGGGAUAAAUUUGGUCCAACUUGAGUAGCAAAACAAAUUGAGUGCCACAGGCAAGUUCACCAUCAAUGAUAAAAGUGGCUUCCAAUUGGUGUCAAAGAUCAUGCAGAUAAGAAAGAACAUGAUUCAAUAGCUAUUAUAAUUUACUUGUUCUUGCAGUUUGACCAGUAAUAAUGCUGUACAUAAUACAUGGACAAGAAAUGCAAAUACUAAAAGUUGCAAAUUUGCAGAGAGCUCUAGGUAACCUGUUUGCAGAAACAGACACGCCUCUUAGUCUUUCAACAAGCCUUGCUCUUGCAAGCAGCACAGCUCCAGGAAGCCUCUCAUUUGCUCUCAAACUUUGCCUGCUUGAACUGCUUACACCAUCUGCAUUUAAUCCAUAGCUCGAACUGAGCUCACCAGUACCUUCAUCAAACCCUUCUCUAGCAAGCCUCUCACUUGAUCUCAAACUUUGCCUUCUUGCAUUGCUUACACCGACUGCAUUUAACCCAUUGCUCGAUACAAGCUCGCUGGUACCUUCAUCAAACCGCACUGAUGAACGCUCCUGAAAAAGUAAUAUCCAAAUAUAAGCGAUUCAGGCAAGGAGAAAUAAAUUACAUAGACUAGGUAAUAAUAUCAAACUUCCUUGUUUAUUCUUGUAUAUGUGGCAAAAUCUUACUGCAAGUGAGCUUAGGCUUUGCUUGGUACCAAAGAUGGAAAGGAUGAACAUGGAAAAUUUGUUCAUCAAAUGUUAAGAUUCAUAUCCACCUUAUUACUUUGUAACUUAACCAUCAGAUAAACAAUUUUCCAAUUCACUCCUUUCCGUCGUUCAUAACAAGCAGAGCCUUAGGGUUUAGAAAAAUUGUCAAGAAAAUACCUAUUCUUCAGUAAUUUCACUGAUAAAUUUAGCUUAAAACUAAUAAUUUUCAGAGCAAAGUUCAGUAUUGAAGCAUAAAACAGACAACGAAUAAAGUACCAAUAAAUUGGUUGAAAAUCCAAUUCUUAAAUUAAAAAUAAAAAAAUAAAUAUAUUUUCCCUUCCAAAAAUAAUACUUAAUUCACCCCCAUUUUUCCUUUAAGUUCUCUUUUUUCUCAGCAAUAAAAUAAAAACAAAUACCUAACAAGAAAUAAAUAAUUUGAAAAAAAAAAGGUAAAAGAGAAAUUGAGCGCACAGAGAGCGAGGAAGCACGGGAGCUGAAGUGGCGCACGUGGGGAGACCGGCGGAGGGAAUCACCGCCGUCCAAAUCAUGCCUCUGAUUGUGAUGACUGAGAUGAUUCCGGCGAUGGUAAUUCCGUUCAAUUGAGGACCCAAUCCCUGAAUCCGGAUCGGGUCGACCCACUCUUGACCUUCGUGUGUAGAAUAACUCCGAAGCGCUUGUCAUCCAACUAAAACCCCCAAAUGGUGUUUUGAUCUGAUCUUACCAAUUAAAAUUUAUUUUUAAUUUCUCCAAAAAAAAUUUAAAUAAACAUGCAAAUUGUAAUUUGGAUUAAGAAAUAAAGGAAGAGAAGCUGAUGAACCCUACGAAGAAACGCGGGAGAAAUUCCUGCGAAUGAAAAUCGAUAGCCUUAGCUUCAAAGGAAAUGAAUGGAAAGGGAUGUGCGUUUUUUUAACCCUAAAUGGUUUAAUUCCGGUUUUAGUCCCCCUCCUAAGCUAAAAUGUAAUAUUUAAUCUUAUAUUUUAAUUUUAUAUACUUUCGUCUUUGAUAUUAAAGAAUAAUAUUUGAUACACCGCAAAUACAUUAUCAUCGAACAAUAACAUGAUACUUGAGUAUAAACAAAAUUAGUGAAAGAAUUAUCAAUAAAUAUUAACAAUUUUAUUUAGUUUUUUUUUUAUUUUUAAAUUUCACAUUUCGAAUUUUAGAUAUAUUUAAAUAAAAUUAUUAAUAUUUAUUUAUAAGUCAUUCAUUAUUUUUUAUUUCAUUAGCAUUGAGGUGUCGUGUUAUUAUUCAUUAAUGGUUGACGAUUUAUUUUUAUUAAUUUUUAUCAUUAUAACGAUGAUGUGAAAUCUUUUAUUGACAAUUUUGUUAUGGUCAAGGUAGCCAUAAUAUAUGUUUUUUAAUACAAAUUCUGGAUAAUAAUUAGUAAUAUUAAGAAAGUAAAAAAAUUAAAUCAUGUUAAAUUAAUCGAGGUUUAAGGGUGUAAAAGCUCUUCAAUUUUUUCAAAAAAGCAAUUAAGUCUUUACUUUUUUCACUCAAUUGAGUACUUUAACUUUUAAAAUGCAUAAAAAAGGACCUUCAAACUUUUUCAAAAAAAAUUAAGCCCCUACUUUUUUUUACACUCAAUUUGGCACUUGAACUUUCAAAAUAUAUAUAAAAAAAAACCUUCAAGCUUUUUCAAAAAAAGCAAUUAAGCCCAUACUUUUUUUUUACUCAGUUGAUUGGGUAAUUAAAUUGUCAAAAUGCAUAAAAAAUAACAUUUGAUUGUUAACUUUAACAGUUAACCGUUAAAAUUAACUGCCCCUAAUUUUUUUCAAUUAAAAUCAUCCCGUGUCACAACCACAACAUGACAUAUGACAAAACAAUUAUAAAAAAUAAAAAUCAAUACAAGUUAUAAAAAGUAUUAAACUUUAAUAAAAAUAUAAAAUUUAUUAAAAUUGUAAAAUUUUAUAAAAAUCAUAAAUAAUUAUAAAAUGUAUCAAAAAGGCCCUUUAACCAUCAAUUUUUACCGUUGACUGUUAAAGUUAACGACCCCCAAUUUUUUUCUAAUUAAAGUCAUCACGUAUCGUAAUACAGUGUGGCAUGUGGCAAAAAUGAUAAAAAAAAAUAAAGAACAAUUAAAGUUAUAGAAAAAUUAUAAAAUGCUUGUUUAAAAAUUAUAAAAUACUUCUUUUGGUACGAUAAUUUUUAUAUUUUUUUAUAAAUUUUAUAUUUCUUUACAUUUUUUUAUAAUUUUCUUACAAUUUUUAUAAUUGUUUAUGAUUUUUAUAAUUUUUUUUCUAAUUUUUAAUAUUUUUAUAUUUUUAUUAAAAUUUAAUGAUUUUUUAUAAAUUUUAUUUAUUUUUAAUUUUUAUCAUUGUUUUGCCACAUUUCACGCCAUGGUUGUGACACAAGAUAACUUUAACUGAAAAAAUUAGGGUCAGUUAACUUUAACGGUUUGAUUAUUAAAUUUAACAAUCAAAGGGUCUUUUUUUUAUGCCUUUUGGCAGUUCAAAUACCCAAUUUAGUGUAAAAAAAAUAAAGGUUUAAUUGAUUCUUUUUUUAAAAAAAAAGUUUGAGAGUCUUUUUUGUGCAUUUUGACAAUUCAAGUACCUAAUUGAGUAAAAAAAAAGAACAAGGGUUAAUUAAUUUUCUUGAAAAAAUCUUGAAGAUUUUUUACACCCUUAACCCAUUAAUCAACCAACUGUGUCAUUGAAAUUUGAUGAUUUGGGAAAAUAUCUUGUGAAUAUCAAUUAGAGAAAUUAAAUCUGAAUUUCAAUAUAUUAGAGGGACUAAACCCAGAAAUUUACCGUGAAAAAGAAAAGGUAUAUCUUUAUGUGUUAGUUGAAGGACUAGUAUUUAGAUGUAGCCACGCGUUAAACAAAGUGUUCCAUUACAUCAACAUAGAAUUUAUUUUCCUUCAAUAAGAUUUUUUGCGUUGACUGUUGACCAUGGAAAAACUAUAAAUCAAAUUAUUAAUUGAAAAUGAUAUAUAUUCCUUCAAUGAGAAUCUUUUUAUUACCUUAAGUCGAGAAUUUGAUUCUCACCUUGUAUAUGGAGUAGUUUUAGAACUCGUAACUUAAUAUCUACCUCUUAAUAGACCUACAGAAUAGAAAAGAUUAGUUACUAUCUAACUUCAAUAAAUACAUUGAAAAAUAAAAAAAAUCGAUAUUAAAUGAAAUAGACAUAAUAGAUUUCUAAAGUCAACUUUGGUCAAUAUAAAUAGAAAAACUAAAUGAAAUUUGGUUUAGGUAAAUUUUGGGUUCAGAUUAAAUUUAAAAUUUAGUUAAUUUUUAUUUAAGUUAAUUAAGUUUGAUUGUAAUUUUUGAAGGUUUGGUGAUUGGGAUUUAGAUUAUUUCGGGUUAUAAUUACUUUGAGUUUAAGACAUUUUAAGUUAUUUAUUCGGGUCAUGUCUAAUUAUUUAUUUGAAUUGUUUCAAGUUUGGAUUAAUUUGGGUCGAUUUCAUAUUUAGGUUAGACAAAUCAAUUUUCAAGAUAUGAACUAGAGUUGUCUAUAAGCCAAGUCACCUAGUCUGGCCCGAAGGCUCGUCGGCAAAUAGGAGGAUUUUAACAAAAAAAUAUAUGUCCAAAAAUGAGAUUGGACAAAAAAUAAGGCUCGUUUUAAAAAUGGGUCGAGCCUCGGGUAAGGUAUUUUUUUACCCUGGCCUGACCUAGAUUUUACAAUAAAAAAAUUGUUGUUUUGCUACCAUUUCACUAUUAUGUUGUUUCAAUUUGUUGAAAAAUAUUUAUUUUAAUAUUUUUUGUGUAUUAUAUUUUUAAUUUUUUUUUAUAUAAAAAAAUUAAUAGUGUCAGACCAUACCCGGGUUUUAGUAUUUUUAUCCAAGCCAGGCUUGGACAAAAAUUUAAGCUCAUUUUUUUGGGCCAAAUUGGGCCCAAAAAUUUAUCAGGACCAACCUAAUUCGACCAUGGACAAGUUUAUAAAAUAGCUAUUUAUAUAUAAAAAAAAAAUUGUCCAUGAGCUAUUUACUAUUUAGAGUAUUUAAAUAUGUCGAUUGAGAUUUAAUUCUUUUUAUUUUGAGAGGUGGAAUAAAAUAAUUCAAUUAAAGUGUAAUGAUGAUAUACCUAUAAUGCAUUAUAUGUCCCAUUCUUCUAUCUUUUUAGGGAGUCAAUGAUUAUUUAUAGCUAUUAUCUUUAUAUCAAAAAAACAAUUCGACUCAAUAAUUAACUACUUUUGCUAGAUUGAUUUUUGAUUAGAUUAAUAUGUUUUUAGUCAAUUUAAAUUUUAAAAAUUUUCAAAUUAUUUCAAUUUCGAUUAGUUUUAACUUUAGAUCAAUUCUUAUUCAAUUAUAUUUUAGACUCAGAAUUAAAUGGAUCGAAUUAUCAGAUUUAAUGAUUUGUAUGUAAAAUUUUAUUUAAAAUAUUUUAAAUACCACUCUAACACAAUUACAUAAUUCAUAGAUUAUAUAAUUUGAAAUUAUCAUUACACACCACCAUUGAUAAUUUCAGCUUGUAAGUCCUAAUAUUUUAUUCAAAUUUCAUAAAAACCCUUCCUUAUCUCCAUGACUAAUUUUGUUUGAUCAUCACAUAUUUGCAUGGGAAUAGUGGUCAUCAUGAACCGAAGACUCCGGUUUAUCAACACCGUCGACGCUUCGAACCCAGAAACUUGAACCGAAAGAAGCCGCCCGGUCCGGAACGUCAUCCAUCACCCAUUCAUGGCCUUUCGGGAAAUAUAUCCCACUCUUUGGAUGUGGAACCCAACUCGAUGAACUUUUUAUAUCGUCGUUACUCUUGCACUUCUUAUUGAUCUCCCGAUCUGCGCCUGCAAUUUUGCUCAAUGGUCGCUCAACGCGUUUUGCUUCCCUACACCCGAAUAAAGUUUCCAAAAGUCAAACAUAUUUAUUAAGUUCAUAAUGAUUUGCCUCUAAAUUUUGUACUUUUGUAUGGUUUUUUUUUGGUAAAAAUUUUAAUUUUUGGCUUUUCUAAAUACAAAACAAAUUUCAAAUUUCAUUUUUGACCAAACAAAAACAUCUCAAAAUCAUGGCUCAAACUUUAAAACGAUCCCUAAAUUUUAAAAUGUUCUAAUUGAAUCUUUAAAAAUAAAGUAUACCUAAAACACGUUUUAAAUAUGCUCUACAUCAAACAUAAACUAACAUUUAACACCCAGAUAGACAGCGAGAGUGACAAAAAAAACUUGGUUAAUACGAUACUAAUAUUUUUAGGACCCAAUUAAACCAUUUUAAAAUUUAAUGACUAAUUUAAAAUUCAUUCUAUAGAUUAAGAAAAUCUGUUGUAAUCAACCCAAAUAAUAACGACAACAUUACGUACCUUAGCAUCAAAAUCUUGGUUUUGGUAAAAGCAGCUCUUCCCAUGCAAUGCAGCUCUUUAAAACCCCUCAAAAAAGGACUCCAAUGCAAUUAUCUAGGACUUGAUCGUUUGUUUUAUAGAAUGCUUUCGAAAGUGCAGUUUUUGUACUUCAAAUUGUAUCCGAACGAAUGAAUAAAGGUUUGACGAAUAAGUUCGAUUGUGAAGGUCCUAAGAAAAUUAAAAUUUUAGAAUAUUAUAUUUCGGAAUUUCGUCUUUUUAUUUUAAGAAAUUUAAUCAUUUUAUAUUUUUCGGAUUUAAGUAUACAGGUCCAAUUAUUAUUAAAAGUGAUUCGACUAAAAAAUUAAAAAAUAUUUCGAAUUUCAAGUUAAUUGAAUUGAGUUAUUCGAUUUUUUCGAGUCAACUAGAAUAAGUAAUUCGAGUUCGAGUCGAGUUGAAUUUUACAAUUCGAAUAACAGAUUAAUGUGAAUACCCAUUUGAUCCCUGUCAAUUUUAAAAAUAGGUAAAUUUAUCUCUCAACAAAGUUUACAAAAAAAAAUCAAAAUAAUUUUCAAAAAAUUUUAAAUAUAAUUUUUAAAAUUCAGAAUAUUUAUAAAAUAUCAAAAUUGAUAUUUAAAAAAUUUAUAAAAAUUCUAAAUAUAAAAAAAAACUUAAUUUUUUUAAAAAUAAUAAUUUUUGGAAAAUUUAACUAUUUAAGUUUAUCAUACUAAAAUAUCUUCUUCUUUUUUUUCUUAUUAUGCUUUGAAAGAAUUUUCAAAUUUAUAUGUUCUAACAUUGAAUUAGUUAUAUUGUAACAAUAUUUUAAUUUGACAUUUUUUUUUAAUUUCACUUGAUUUGGAAAAUAUUCAAAUCGAGUUAGAAUGAUAAAAUGGGACUCGUCAACUCGAUUAACUCAAAAGUUUUUCACUUGAUUCGAUCGAAUGCUCACCCCAAACUAAUAUCAUAAAAAUUCUUUUGUUAAAUUUAGAUUCGUUACAAUAUUAAUUUUUUUAUUUUAUGACUAUCAAAUUUGUUUUUUUUUUCUUUUCAUUUCAAGGUGUCACAGUAAUGAAUUUAAUAGAAUAAUUUUAACAAUAUUAACAAUUAAUUUUUUUUUGACAUUUAAAAAAUAAAGAAACUAAAUUCUUAAAAAAAAAACCAAAUUUACGAAGAAUCAAAUUGGAAAAUAAAGAGAUAAAUAUAUAUUUUUUGGUGCUUAUGUUUAUCUUUGAUUUUAAUUUUGCUAUUUAUAUAUUUUUUUUUCAAAUUGGUACUUAUGUUGUUUUUAAAUUACACAAAAUGGUAUCAAAUUUAUUAUCUGACGUAUGGAAUGAUGAUGUCAUAAUAACAUUUGGGAAAUUAUAAAAAUUUAUAAAAAAUAUGUAUUAAAAAUUCAAAAUAUAAAAAAUUAUAAUGUUUGAUACCAAAUAAAAAUAACAUAAAAAUCAAUUUUUUUUAUAUAUUUUCAUAUUUUUAUAAAAAGAGUAUCAUUUUUUUAUGAAAAUAUAAAAUCAAUUAUUUUUAAUAAAAAUAACUUUUUUAUAAAUUUUAUUAAAAAUUUAUAUCAAAAUCAUGAAAAUAUUCAUCAAGUCACAAAAAAGAAUUACAAUUUCUUACCCGAAAUAUAUAUUUUAUAUUUCCAGAAUUUUUUAGAUUUUUUUUAUUUAAUUUUUGGAUAAUGACAUCAUCAUCAUCACAUAUUAAAUAAUUAUUGGACCACAAAAUAAAAGUUAGCAUCAUUUAACUUAGGUACCAUUCUGUGUAACAGUAGUCAAACGUGGGUACCAAUUUGAAAUAAAAAAAAGGACCAAAAUGAAUAUUAAGAUCAAAUACAUGUACUAAAGAAUAUAUUUAUUUUUUCAUUAAAAUAGUUUAAAUUAAAUUAUUAUUUUUUGAGAGAAGUCAAAAAUGAAAAUUUUCAUUUAAAAAGAAUUAAAAUAUUAAAUUUUAGGAGGGUCCAAGGAACCAAAGCCUCUAACUGCCGUUAGUUUGCCAUUGUCAUUAUCAAUUUACUCGCCCUGAGAGGAGUUUAGCGGCGAAGCUUGGGGAUAAUUUGUGGCCUUGACCCUCUUAAAUUUAAAUAAUUCAAUUUAAUCUCUUUCAGCCCAUUUAUUAAGGAGAGGUCAACUUCUUUAAGAAAAGUUUAUGAAGUAUGAUUCAUUAAAAGCUAGCGAACAUCCCAAUAAAUCGAUAUUAUUUCAAUUGAAUUUUUUAUCUCCCAAUUUUACGAAGAAUUAAUGGGUUCACAAAAUGAAUAUAUCUUAUUAGAUGUCUAAUAAGACAAAUCACAUACAUCGCAUCGCACUUGAUAUCAUAUACGACAUCGAAAAGCUAGUAUAUUACCACUUAAACUAAACACCUAUUUAUUAUGAAAUCUGUUGCUUCGAAUAAACGAGAAAUAACAAAUUUCUCCCGAAAAAAUCGGCCCCUAUCGUUUCCUCUUUUUCAAAAGUAAAUCUUAAUUCGCUCAGGUGAUUUGGAAUAUUGAGAUUUUUUUAGUGAAAAGAGUGGCAAGUUGGUGUGACACCUAAGGUCACUUUAACAUAUAGCUCUAAAUUCUAGAGACACUGUGAAUCGUUACUUCAGCAUAUGCCUCUUGUUUUUUUUCCUUCUUUCACCAGAAUAUAUUCAAUGCAAAGAACUUAUCUCUUACACAUUUGAUUGUUGGUUAAAUUCGAGUUUUAGUCCCUAUAUUAUACUUCCUUCCUGUUAUCGAUGUUAUACUUUAGUCUAAAUCCAUAAUAUCAACACAACUCCAAAUUCAUUAUAUCAUUUAAACAUUAAAAUUAUCUAUUUAACUUGUGAUUUAAAUAAAAAUUAAAUUAUGGUAUAACCACGAUGUGGAUAAAAAAUAAAAUUAUGUGUUAAUUAUAUUUGUAAAAGAAUGAAAUUUUAAUUAAAACGAUAAAGUUUAAAUUUACUUUAUAAUGCAAUGAUAUUUGAGUCAUUAUCCAAUUGAAUUAGUGCCUAAUAACUCGUAACACCAAUUUAAUUAAUUAUGCACAACAUUAAGUUUUAUUAUCUUUCUUUCUUUAAUAGAUUACAGUCAGUUACUUAAAAAAAUUACAGUUAAUUAUUAUUUUAUAAGGUAAACUAUCAAAAUAGUCAUUUUUGUUUCUCUCAUAUUACAUUUUGGUCACUUAUGUUUGAAAUGUUAAGUUUUAGUCACUUACAUUUAUCGUAUUAUAACAUUUUAGUCACCGAGCGUUUAUUGCCGUUAGCAAUAUAACAAUAAAGCUGAUGUGACACGUUAAAUCAUCAAUUCAAACGAAAAUUUUAAGUUAAAUUAUACAAUUGGUCCCUAUUUAUUUUGAGCAAUUUAUUUUUUUAUAUUCUUUGAAUUUUCUUUUUUCUUUUUUAUUUUCCGUUCUCUUCUGUUUCUCCCUCUAUUUUCUUCCAUUCCCUGUCUUUUUUAACGUAAAUUUUCUAUGUUUUUCAUUUCUUAAAAUUUAUCUAUUUUUUUUCUUUUAUGUACUUCUACGUUAAAAGAUAUGGAGAAGUGGUGAAAAUAGAGGGAGAAGUAGAAUAGAAUGAAAAAAAAAAAGAAAGCUAAAAGAACAUAAAAGUAAAAAUAUGGGGAUUAAUUGUAUAAUUUAAUUAUUUGAAAUGAUGAUUUAACAUGUCACAUCAGCUUACCGUUAACAACAAUUAACGGCUCAGUGACUAAAAUGUUACAACACAUUAACAUAAGUGACUGAAAUGUAACAAUUGAAACAUAAGUAACUGAAAUAUAAUAAUUGAAACAUAAGUGACUAUUUUAAUAAUUUAUCCUAUUUUAUAUUAUAUGAAAUAAUAUUAUAACUGCUAUUUAUUUUAAAAUAUUAAUUAAUAAAAUCACGUUUCUAACUUGGUAGUUAUAAACCAACGAAUUUAGGCAAUAAGAAACUAAUAUUUAGUAGAAAAGGGUAAUUAGCACCUCAAAGACAAAGCCAGUGAGUAUUUUUUUUUUUUAAUCGAAAGCUCCCUUCCAUAUAUAUUUUGAUUUUAUUUAAUUUCUUCGUAUUUAAAUAAUCAAUGGUUUGUCGAUUGAGUCUUAACUCUAUUGACAUAGACAUUAUUGUUAAUGUAGGAGGACGUGAGUUCGAAUGUACUAAAACGUAUUAUCCUCCUAUUUAUGAAUUGAAGAGAGACUAGAGCAGAUAUAAUGAGAACUUAUAAUGAAAUUGUUCAGAAAAUCAAACUCACUAUUGAAUAGGAGAUUAAAUAAUAUAAAAAAUAAAUAAAUAAUAAUAAUUAUUUCGAAAAUAUCUUACAAAAUAAAACAUAUCUUCAAAUCCCAACAAGAAGAAUAUAAAUAAUAUUUAGUUUGGUCAAUCACGAAAAGAACUUAGAUUUUAACAGAAUAUAUUAAUUUUUAAAAAUAAAAAAACCAAAUUUUUUUUAGAAUAUAAUUUUUUUUAAAAGGAAAGAAUAUUAAAAAGAAAACAAUUGUCAUAAUUGAACUACUCUUUAAAUAUGUCUGGUUAAAUUGAACUGUAUAUGACCAUGAGAUCUUUGGUCGAUUUUAAGAGGUCUCGAACAAUUUAGAAGGAGAAAUCAAAUCUUCUGUUACUUAUAAAGUUCACAUUAUUCGGUUUGCGCAAAUAAAGUUUAUAUGUUUAGUUGGACUUUGAAUGAUUACAAAAAAUUCAUUCAUAAAGUUUUAUCUCAUCAAGUGAUUUUUUAGAGAGAUGAUCAUGUAUUGUAAUACAUUUGAAGGAAUAAUUCGGAUUUGACCGUGCAUUAAAGUAAGUAUAGGGUUUUGUUUUUAUCUUAGUUAGAAUGAAAUAAAUAUAAAAUCAAAUAAUUAUAGUAUCAUAACAGUACAUCGUGCGAUUUGGAGACCCACAUAUAUAAUUGCGUGUAGUGAAUUUUGAAUUUGGGUACUUAAAGCUAAUAACUUAUUGAAAUAUAUGGGAUAAUUUACACCAAGAUGAUGUUUGAACAAAAAUUUAGAAGGAUGAGCAUUUGGUACACCGGUAGUGUACUCUUUUUAUUUAAUAAGUAGUCUUAAAAAUUGCCAUGUGUCUCUUUUUUUAAAUAUAUAUAUUAAUAUUUUAUUUUACCCUUAUAGGAUACUCGUCAACCUCUUGACGCUACUUGUGAAGUCUAAAAACUCUAUUGACAUUGUAUUUAGGGUGUAAUAAAAUAAUAAUUAAAUAAUUAAAAAUGACACUUAUAUCAUCUUAAACUCGCUUGUGGAGUUUUUUUUUUUUUUUACUAAUAAUUACCCAUAAUUUAAUAGAAUAAUAUUUAGUACAUUAUGAAAUUUUUAGACUGCACAAGCAAAAUUACGAGAUUGACAAAUGUCCUAUAUCUAAACUUUACAAAUAGGGUCAUGAGGUUAUAAUAGAAUUGAAUAGAGUUUUGAAUUAGGUGCAAUAGUACCUACAAAGCCAUAAAUGUUGCUUUGCAAAUUGGGGGUUUGGUUGGAAGGAGAUGCAUUAUACAUAUUGAGGAAACUUACUCAAAUGAGAAAGACGUAUCUCUUGAGACAAGCUAACCAACUUGUGCUCUACUAGUAUCCCGAUCUUUCUUUAACAGCUCAACUACUCAAGAUAUAUUUUUACUUUGAGUAAAGAAAUUUAUAAAUCAUAUGACCGCUAGAAAAAAAAAUGAGAAAAUCCGCCAACAACUCUCAUCACCUUUUAUCGCUAAGGUCUUAAAUAUAAGAUGUUGAGAUUUGUAAGAAGUUUUUUUUUUAAUAUUUUAUGUCUAGAUUAAUUUUGAUUUUAAUUUAUGAUUAAUUGUGUCUUAGGCCGUGUGAGCAUUCGAAAUAGGGAUAUACAGUCGUGUCCCAACCCGUAUGAGUAAAUUGACUUGGGUCACACGGCCUAAGACAUGGAUGUGUCUCACGGCCUGGUCACACAGUUCUGUGAUCCCUGCAGUGUUGAAAAUUUUAAGUUUCUGAUUUAGUCCCAAUUUGUUUCUAAUGUGUAUUUUGGACCUCGAGGGCUCGUAUAAGAGACAAUAUAUAUGAUUUUGAUCAGUUUUUGACAUGAAUGCUAUAUGAUAUAAAAUGUUUGCAUUUUCUGUCUAUUUGAUUUGUAAACUCCAGUAAUGCUCCGUAACUCUGUUCCGACGAUAGAUUCGGGUUAGGGGUAUUACAGUGUGGGCUCGAACCAAUUGAAUUGAAACACAGAACUAGAAAAAGUUUUCUCUCUUUUUGGGGUGAAAACGAAAAUUCUCUUUUCUUAAUAGAAAACGAUAGAAUUGUUAUUCCGGAAAAAUAUAGAUAAUAGUUAAGAAUAAACUCUGUAUUUUUUGAUAAAAAUAACGAUAUCUUAAAGUUGUCUAAAUAGCUCUAUCGGUGCCAUUUAUUUAUACGAGGAGAAAGUAAAACCUUUGAUGAGUUGUAAUGGUUUAUUUCAAAUAGAAAAAUAACUUCCUACUUAGAAUAGGAGACAUGUGUACAACACACCCUAGUAUUCCUAAAAGGUUGUCGCCCCCUUCAUGUCACAUGAGAGGUUUUAGGCCUCUCUUACAUCAGGUCCAAGUACGAGUACUUCUUAGGCCUUUUUAAUCUAGUACUCUGUAAUGUGAUCCAACUUGAUUCAGUUUUUCUAUUUUCUAAAAUAAACUUUAAUAUUUAUAUAUAAACAAAGUUCUCAUCCCUAUUUUAUCCCUACCAAAAUUUUGAUAAUUUUGCCUCUGGUAAAAUUUCGAGAAAAUAUGUUCAAUAUUUCACAACUCAACACGUUCACUAUAACCGAAUGGUUUAUUUUCACUUUCGGGCUUCAAAAUAGUCCAAAAAGAUAGACUCAUUCUUCCACUAUUUUUUAAGUAAUCCAUAUAGGAUUGCAAAUUUUUAUUUUUAUUUUUAUUUUUAUUUUCAUUGAAACCUACAUUCAUUUCCAAAUGAUUUCAUUUCUCCAUUUUGAAAAAUAACAUAAUCAUUCAUGAAUGUUUCCUAUUUCUCUUUUUCUAUUCAUUCCGUUCAUUUCUAUUCAAAGACACAAUUCAUAUCUGGAUUCAACAAGCUAACAAAGGGAUUGAUUGGAUAUAUGUAGUUGAAGAUCAAAAGAUUUAUAAUUAAGUUCCAGCUUUUUGUCUAUUAAUUAUAAACUCAUUUAGUCAAGAAGUCAUUCCACUAUAAUAUCGUAACUGAGCUCUCCUCAAUGACAUACCGUUAUGAAAGCAACUACACAGUACUUGUCCAAUAACCUUAUCAUAAAUGUGAUACCCUUAUAGGAUAUCAUAGAUCUUUUUAGGAUAAUAUUUGUUCUCCUAAUAUUAUAUUAUUUUAUAUAAUGGUAAUCAUUACAUCUUUCUUCAUGAAAAGUCAAUCACUAUCAAAUAGUGAUCAAGUCAUCUAUCAGAAAAAUGGACGACUUGUGACCACGUUUACUUUUCAUCAACCAUGUAAUGCCAAAGAGAGGAUAUCAUCUACCCAUGUAUGAAUGACGCUACAUACUAAAAAAAUUCGUACAUCCAACACACCAGCUUUUGGUUCCUUAUCUAUUUGAACUCAGGCUUUUACUUAUGUCAAAGUGUACAACUCACACAUACAUAAUCCACUAUCCACUCUGGAUUUAGGUAUGUCACACUAUGAACGUCACAAGUGAAUAAAUCCAUAAACGGAUUCAGGAUGUAUCCUGCUUUGGUUUUGUUCGAUGUACUGCUAGUCCAGUCAGUCACAUCUAUGUCUUUAUCUUUUGCGAGUCAUCCACUCUGAUGCUUAAGACAAGACAUCUCCAAAAUUGGACUUAAUAGACGACGUAUUAUCCUUUCAACCAGUUUGCUCAUUUUUCAUGUAAUACCUCGAAAAUUUCUAUAGUAAAAUAUUAUCCUUGAUAUAGAAAAAUAAGGAAAUAAGUGAUAAAAAGGGAAGUUUUGAGUUAUGACAACAUUGGCAAGUAAAUUAUGAUAUCUUGGUCCAGGAAAGGACUAAAAGUUUUGUUGCACAAGAGUAAAUACUCAAAAACUUGAGGGGUUAAAAGGUAAAUAUGAAAAAGUUUAAAGACCAAUAAUGCAAAUAUUUUAAGGGUGGAAUGAUAUAAAAACUAAGGAAAAUGGAUGAAUUAGGACCAAAUUAAAUAAGUAAAGAAUUAUGAGAGACUAAAUUAUAAUUUUAUCAAAUUAAAUGAUGACUCAAGGAUGAAAUUUUAAAACAUAAUCAAGGAUAAUAUGGUCAAUUAGAAGGAGAGAGAAAUCUAGAGACAAUGAUGAUGUUGGAGAUAUUUUAGAUAAAUUAAAUAAAUAAAUAUUAGUUUAUUAAUACUUUAAAUUGAUUUUUAAAUGAUAUUUGAUUAUUUAAUUAUUAUUUUAUUUAAUAUAUAUAUGUAAGGAAAGAAAGAAAAGGAUGAUCAUUUUUCCCAUGCACUAAUGUGCGAGAAAGAGAGAAAGAAAGGAACUUUUGUUUUCUUUACAAUUUGGUCCUUCUAUAAAAAAUUCAUCAUUUUCACCCAAAAAUCAAAAGAAUUUUCAUAGCUACCAAGAGAAAAAAAUGUUAAGGAGACUAUGGGAAGUUAGAAUAUCAAGUUGGAUUCAAGAAAUGGAAGCUGAAGGAGAGAGAAAAUCAAGAUGAAGAUUGAAAUCAAUAGAACAAGGUAAGAACAUCAUGAUUUCAAUAUAUUUUUAAGUUUGAUAUUAUUGAAAAAGCACGGAAUUGAUGUUAAUGUAGAGUUUUCUUAUAUAUGGACCUAUGUUCUUGACAUGUUAGUGAAGAGAAAAUAAGAGAAAGUAAUGAGAAAUAGUGUAGAGAAAGAAAAUAAGGGUGUUAUAAACAUGGUAAAUAAACAUAUUGCACUAAAACAAUUUUAGACAACAGCAGUAGGUUAACUUUGAAAAAUCACCAUAAAUUUUGAAAAAAGAAUUAGAGGAUGAAAAAAUAUGGAAUUAAAUCUUAUUCAGUCUAUUUUCUUAUAAAAGAAACCGUGUAAGAAAUAGAAUUUUGAAUUAUGAGAUAUAAUAAAUUUUAUGAGACAAUGUUAGAAUGAUUUUGGGUUCCCCUAUUCUAACUUUGGAAAAUCAUAAAAAAUUAAAUAAAAAUAAUUAUGGGAUUAAAUUUAUAUUUUUAGAAUCCUGAAUGAGUCUAUUUUCAAUAGAAACAAACAAGAACAUUAUUCUAAUCUUGUACAAUGAGAUAAUUAAUUUUUAAUGAAGAAGGGUUGGAACUGUCAGACUUCAGAAUAGGGGUAACUUUAAAGAAUAAACUGUACUUAUUGGCUAAACCAAAAAUUCUAAAAAUUUUAUGGUAAGAAUAUAUGUGAGUCUAGUUUUAUGUAAAAUUAAUGAAUCUUAAUUUGGAGUUCUGUAUCUUAAGAUAAAAAUAAUUUAGUGACUAUGACAAGCUUUGAAUAUACAUAUAAGUAAAUAGUGAAAUUAUAGAUAAUGUUACUUAUAAGCAUGUUAUAUACAUUAAGGAUGUGGAAUGGAGAGGAGGGGGAGGAAAAUAUAUAUGAAUAUUCAGCUAGUAUGGUUAAUUUACAUGUUUUAGGCUCAAGGACUAAAUUGAAUAAAAGUAAAACCUUAGGGGGAAAUUUUGUAAAAAUGUCAAAAAUGACCAAGUUGAAGGGAAUGAAUUAUUUUAUUAUCUAAAUUAAUAAAUUAAAUUAAAUUAUUAAUUUAAGAUCGGGUGAAAGUUGAGAAAAUAGUAAAUUACCAAAAUGCCCCUAAAUCUUGGUAUUUCUGCAAUUUAGUCAGGUAGAUUCGUAUAACUUGAAUGAGCAUUUAAAUAUGUCAAUUUAAAUAUUGUAUUGUAUUUUAUAUGAUGUUUGAAUUGAAUAUAUGAAAUGUAUGGAUGUUGAAAUGAUAGAAAUAAUACAUGUUUUGAAACUACUUGAAAGGGAUAAAAUCUGUUUGAAUAUUGGGUUCUGGAUGGAUAUAGGUGAUUUCCCAAAUGAAAGAGUUCCUGCAUGUGUUGCAGAAAUAGAUAACCCGGACUGUUAAUCUGGCAAAAGCCUUCUCGAGAAUAUAAAGUGGAUAGGAUUCGUUCCUGAUUCACUAUAAUACCUCAAAGUGGAUAGGAUUUGUUCCUGAUUCACUAUGAUAAUUUAAAGUAAAUAGGAUUUAUUCUUGAUUCACUAUGGUAACUUAAGGUGGAUAGGAUUUGACCUGAAAAGGGUAAUCCUGAUUCCCUACGGUUACGCGAUAUAUGAUUCCUUAUGAUUACUUAAGGUGGGUAGGAUUUGACCUGAAAAGGUAAUCCUGAUUCACUACAGUUACAUGAGAUAUGACUUGAGAAAGUGCUUGAUGAUUAAACAUCCUAAGGGUUAUUUCUGAAUAUGAAUUUAUGGAAUAUGGAAAUGUACGCUUUGAAUGUACUGUUGAAAAAUCCAUCCGAACUCCAAUGAUCUGAAUAUGAAUUGAUGGAAUAUGAAAAUGUACGCUUUGAGUGUACUGUUGAAAAAUCCAUCGGAACUCCAAUGAUUCAACGGAUAGAAUAUUUGAUAUGAUAUGAGAAUUAUAAUAUGAAAAAGAUGUUACGUGAAACAUGAAAAUGAAUACCAAACGAUAUAAAUUAAUUGAAAUUAUUUUGAAAAUUUCGAUAAUACCUCAUAUCCUAUACCGAUCUCGAGUACCGGUAUGGGGUGUUACAUUAUAUUAGACUAAAGACAUGUUUAGGUUCGUUUAGUAAUACAAGUUGUCUUUCUAUACUACGAUCUGACCACGUAAUACUGCUUAAUAUUAGUUAAAUAUUUAGACAACCAAUGAGUAACAUUUGCUUCUAUUUUGAUUUACGUGCAAAAACCAUUUGAGAACAAAAUACAAAGUAAAUUAAUUUAAUUUACGAAUAAUUUUAUUAAUCAAUCUGUUCGGAAAAUUACAAUUUUACAAAUAAAUACAGUACACUCAAGACACCAAAUCUUGUUAGAAAAAUGAGUUUGAAAAACGUAUCAGAAAAUAAAUUUAUGGAAAAAUCAAAGUUUUAAAAUUUUUUCCAAAACAAGAUCUUGGUUAUAAUAUCUAAAGUAAUAAACACUUAAUAAAAAUUGUACUUUUUCGAUUCGUCUAAGAUGAGUGCUUCGACCGAGUAGUCUUUUUCUUUAUCCUCAAGCUCACGUCUGUCGAGUGUGAGCUUGCUUCGAAUCAGAAAAUUUUUCACAAAAAUUACCAGUGUGGUAAUUUUAUAAUUUCUCUAAACUUUUGGGUUAAGUUGUAAAUCAGAAAAAUAUUUGUAGAAAUUUUUUGAAAUAAUCUCUUCAGAGAAUUUUCUCUCUACAACUUUAUCUUGAAUUCAAAUAUGUGUAAAUAAUGACCCAAGAUUCUAUUUAUAUAGGGAGAGUUCAGAGAGUUCAACUAUGAUUAAACUUAAUUACUUUAAUAUUAAAUUUAAUAUAAUAUUUAUUAAGAUAAAUAUUAGAUUAAAUUUAAUAUUAAAUCUUAUUAAAAUAAUCGAAUGUUUAUUUAUAGGAUAAACAUUAAAUUAAAUUUAAUAUUAAGAUAAUUACUUUAAUAUUAAAUUAAUAAAACACUAUUAAGAUUAGUAUUAAAUUAAAUUUAAUAUUAAACUAUUAAAAUAAUAUUAUUUUUUGAAUAAUUAAUCUGAAAUCAAAUUCUCUAGUAGAAUCCCAGUAAGAGCGUAACUCUUCCACUGCUCAACCACUGACGACCAACCGCUGCCGACCACUGGGACGCUGCCGUCGUAGCCACCGAUACUAUAGUGUCCAGUGAUGCAAGUGUGACACCCUUACAGCACCCCCAAUAGGUUCAACUGUUAUCGGUUCAAAAAUUAAUUUAAUUUUACUUGAUCAGAACUAAUUUUUUCAAAAAUCAUUUAGAUUUUUCAAAUUAAAUUUAAAAAAAAAAUUCUUUAAUCAAAUUCUCUAGUUGAACAAUUCUCACGACCACUUAAUUUAAUUCCACGUCGAAUAAAUCGACUCAAUUCAAUUAUUCCCAAAGUCGUAGAAUUUUCUUUUAGUCCAAAUGCAGUCCAAUCGAACAUUUGUUGAGCUAGUAGAGGGACCAAUCAGACAUAUACAAUUAGGCUUUAGUGAUUGCAAUUAUAUCCAGAAGCAUUGUUCCGAUAAUUCGCAAUUACUUAAUUAUGUAGUCAGUCCAUAAGAAGUACCAUGAUUGAAAGCUCCUUAUUGUAUACUCUUUAUGAAAGCAAUUCAUCCAACUACUUUGUCUAAUAACUCGUUAUGUGUGUGUUACCUUCAUAUGAUAUACUUGAUUCAUUUGAGUUAAAUCCGUUCACUCAAUAUAAUCCUAUUUUAUCUCAUUGCCAUCAUUGUGUCUUCUUAAUGAUUAAUAUGAUCACUGUCAACAAAUGACUGUGAGAAAUUACUCGUUUGAGAACAAGCAACCCGUGACCAUGUUCCCUAUUUUUCAAUCCACACAAUGCCAAUGAGAGGAUAUCAUUAACUCUUUAAUUGAGUUAUGAAUUCCACUGUUGCUAGUAAAGCCAUGUCAUACACAAGUCAUGUACCCAACAUAUCGGCUAUGGACUCGAUCAUCUUUAGAGCAUAAGCCUCUACUUAUAUCAAAAUACAUGAGUUGUAUACGCAUGCCAAUGACUAACUCAGGAUUUAGGUAAAUCACACCAUGAACGUCACAAGUGAAUUAAUUUACAAACGGAUUCAGAAUUAAUUCAUCUUAAAUUCAGUCUAAUAUAUCAUUCUACCAAUGAAUACAUUUAUGUCUCUACUCGUGGAGUCAACUGCUGCGAUAGCCAUAACUAAACAUCUCCCUAAUUGAAAUUGUAGACAACAUAAUAAUCAUGCUCAAUAUUUGAAUCAAAUGCUCACUUUGAUUCUUUUACGUUAUUACAAACUCAUUUAGAUUUUCUACUGAAGUAAGUUGUCUUUCUCGUAAUGUAAAUGUUUUUUAUAAUGCCACUUAUCUUUAGUUUGAAUUUUAAACAAUCAAUGAACUAAUAUUUGCUUGUCACAAUUUCGCUAUAAAUACAAAAGAUAUAAUAGUGGAAUGUGAAAUUAACUUUAUUUAUUUAUUCAUCGUUCAAAUAAAUAGAAAAUAAUUACAUAUUUACUACAAUAUGAGAACAUUUCCCAAUAGAUCCAAUAUCGUUUCCAUUUAAUUAUCGUUUUUAACCGAGAGAACAAUAGUAAAUUGAAAUCGGAUACAUGGGACUGAUUUACUCACACAAGUUGACAUAUUUAGGUUGCUCCCACAAGUUUCAGACUAGGGUUGCUCAUACAAGCUUAGUUCUGUGCUGCUCACACAAGCUUCAGAGUAUCUGCAACACAUGUUGGAUCUCAAGUCAUCGUAUUAAUUAUUGAUCAAAUAUCCGUUUUCCUUUUCGGGACCCUAAUGGCAUGUUAUUCGUAUCUUAAUCGUUUAUUAAAUUCACACAGCCAUUGUUACCAUUUUCAUAUAAUUUCAAACCUUGUAACAUCAUCAUAUGCAUAUCAUUCAAUCAUAUAACAAUUUCACAUACAUUCAAUACCAUAUACCUAUUCGUAUUUUUCAAAUAUUUCAUAUUUUACGAUUUAGUCCAUUUGAUGCCAAAAGACAUUAUAUUUAUAAAAAUUCAAAUUAGAAAGCCAAACAAUACAAUACAAACAUAUCAUGAAUUAAUAAAGUAAGUCCCAUAUGAACUUACUUGGCAACAACAACAACAAAUAAUACGUCAAUGACUAAUUCACAAUUUUGUCCUUUCAUUGAUUAUCCUCCGAUUGAUUUAAUUCUUGAUCUAUACGAUAAUUCAUUUCAAUUUAUCAAUUAAAAACACCUUAUUUCAUCCUACUAUAAACAUAAGUCAGUUCAAUUUCACUUUUCGAAUGUUUCCUAAUUUUUUCCAUUUUAUCCAAUUUAGUUCCUAUAACUGAAAUUACCAUAACUUUCAAAUUCGAGCUUCGGUUUCGAAACUGAUCUCAAUUUCAUCUUUCUAUAACCCUCUAUUAUAAAAAAUUGUAGAAAUAUUAUACUAAUUUCAAAAUUCAUACGCUUUAGUCUUUACAUAAAAAAACUAACAAUUAAACUUUACAAACUAGCCCAUUUUCAAUUCUAAGCUCAAAGUCUAACAAUUUAAUACCAAAAACUUCAAAAAAUCAACAAUGGAAACUUUUGAAAAUUUUAACAGUUUUACAAGUUGAUACGUGAGCUAGCUAAAUCAAGCUUACAGGACCUAAAAAUCAUUACAAGAAACGAACUAAAUCGAACUUACUUAUGGAUGGCCGAAAGCUUUGAAACAUAAAACCCUAUUUCUUUCUUUUCUAAUCGUGAAGAAGAUGAAUAUGAUAAGAAAUGACUUCCAUUUCUUUUUAAUUUUUGUUUAUAUAUUUUAAUUAGUUACCAAUUAAUUAUAAUUAACUUAAUUAACCUAAGUUGAAUUAAAGCUAAAUUUAAUUAACAAUUUUGGUGGGUUACAACUAUUCUCCACCACCGAUUAACAUAACAUGUAGGGUCAAAUUUCUCAAUUGGUCAUUCACUUAAUUAAAAUUCCAUAGUGAUUAAUUCGUACCAAAUGUACAAAUUAGUCUUUGUACAUUUAUUAACUAUCUAUUUGACAAAAUUAAGGACCAAACUUUAAUUAAACAUUAUAUUAACCUCAUAAAUAUCAAAUAAUAAUAUUUACAGACCUGAAUAUAAAAAAUGAGGUUCUGAAACCAUCAUUUCCGACACCACUAAAAAAUGAAUUGUUACAUAAUACAUUGUUAUCCGAAAAACAAAGCGAUAAUUAGUACACUAUAUUCUUUUAUUCUCAAAUAAAUUAUUUUGUUUUAAAAGGAUAUACAUUGUAAUGGAUAUCGUAUUAAGAUCAUGGAUGAGGAGACAAUUAAUUGAAUCUAUUAUAUUGGAUAAUAGUUUUGUAUUUAAAAACUACCAUAUAGUGGAGGCGGUGCUCCUGAAGAGACCAAAAGACAACUAAUUAUUAAAACUCCAAAAAAGAUUCAAGUACCUGAAAUUGAAUAUGAAAAUAGUGAAAAUAAAUAUAUCUCAAUAUAAGUUAUGUUAAUACCAGAAAACAUGGAACUUUAAAAUAGAAAAGUUGUUUACAACGGUUUUGUAUGCAAUAAUAUUAUUGAGAUAAUGAAAGAAAAAUGAAGUUCUUGACUAUUGAGAAAUAUAUACAUGAAAAGAUUGGCCAAAAUGGAAAGAUGUAAUUUAAGUAGAAUUAAAUCCUAAAAGUUUUUGGAUCAAUAGUCUAAACGUAUAAUGGUAUAAAGCCAAUAAGGUACAAAUGAGUGGUUCUACAAAAACGAAAUAAGAAAUAUGAAGUUUUUUGCGAAGUCCUGACAUUUAUUAUGAAAUGUGUAAUAUUCUCUCACGGUGGAUGCAAUAGCCUCUAGAUAUCUUAUUAGUUUUGGCUGUUCAUGAAAGAUUUGAUAUGUAUUUAACGAUUGUUGCUAUAACAUUUAUAUAUAUCAGUAUAUACUGGAAGUUUAUAUUAAAAUUCUUCUGAAAUUGUUUAUUACAAUUGUGUAAAUAUUUAUAUGAAUUGAUUUGAACAUAUGUAUUAGUAUACAAUGAUAAUGAUCAACUAUGAUUAUUGUUGGAACUCUUAAUCAAAACAUAUUUCUCCAAAGUUAGUGAAUCUGUUCAAGUGAUCAUUUCAAAAGUUAAUAUUCAAGAUUGGAAUACGUAAAAUUUUGAGAUAUCAUGUAAAGUUGUCAUAAGUAAGAGUAAAUACACAUACUAUUUUUUUAUUUAACAAAAGUUUUAUCCAUUAAAUUUUCUGUUAAAGUAUGUUAAUUAUAGAUAAGUGUAUUAUUUUUAUUUUUGUAAGAAAUUUUUUCUCAUAAAUUCUGAAAUCGUAUAUAUGAAAAUAACUCAUAAAUUAUAUUUGAGUAAAAAUAAUUUUGGUUAAAAUUGUUGACCUAAAAUAUUUAUUAAAAAAAAACAUUUUGAAACUCUUUACAAUCCCACCAAACUCUAAAUAAAAGAUGGAGAAAAACUUACAUUUUCCAUUUUAUUUUGUAAAUUACAGCGUAUUUCAUUCGUAGAUCGACUCCUUCAAAGUUCAAAGUCUAAGAUAGCAUUGGAAACCUGCAGGGCAUACGAAAUAAUUAAAAAAGACAAUUAUAAUUGGAAAAGAAGAAUAAACGCAUCAUCGAGGCAACAACAAUUAUUUGAAAUUUGAAGGAAAAAACAUCUCUCAAAAAGACCCAUAGAUGAAAGGGAAAUGGAAAGGUUCGAAGAGAAAACUAGGGUUGCCAGCUGCCCUUCUACUGUGCUCACUCUCAUUCCUUGCUGGAUUGUUUGUUCCCACUUUUUUCUUUCAGGUAAUUCGUAAAAAUGCUUUCAUUUCCAAGUGUUUAUAACUUGGGUUUUGUGUUUAAUUAUUGGUUUUUUUUUAAUAGGAUGUUCCAAUCAUUAAACCCAAGCCGAGAAUGCUCGAGGCAGUGCAGGAGAAGACGUUUCGUGAUCCGAUGCCAAAUGGAGUAACUGGGGAGAGUUCGAUUGAAUCUAUUCCAUUUCAGGUCAUUUUUCCAUUCUGGUUUAGUGCAUUGACUUUUGAAUGAUGAUGGCUUGGUUCAUCAUGUGAGCUUAGUUGUUGUUAGAUUGGUGCCAUAAUUUUUGGCAGAUCUAGUAUAAAGAUUUUAGUGUAUAGUAGGGGUUGUCUAGUGUUGAACCCGAGACAGGUUUUAAUGGCAGACUUUAACACAAGUUUUUGCCACUCCACUGUGGUUCAGUCCAAAAAGAUUUGUUUAUAAAUGCUUUUUCUUGGGAUACUUUUUUUACUUCAGUUAUAAUACUUGGCUUUAGGAUUUGAUACUUGAUAGCAGUUAACUCAUUAGUUAAAGUAUUUAUAAAAUUGUAGGUGGGAUAGGGCCUUGAGCCGAAAACGGAAAGUCGUAGUAAUCCAUGGUAAAAACCAGAAAAAUUGGAGGAUUGGUUUAGUCUAUGAGUCAGAAUAUUCGAGUUUGCAUGUAUUUGAGAGCUAAGAUUUUAUCAAGGUGUGUUUGUGCUGAUUUAAAGAGGAGCUUUUGGAUAUUAAGAGUGGUAAUGAUGCAGAACAAGGAUUUUAUAUGCAAAUGUUUUACAUAAUUCCGAGGUCGAUAUAUGCUAGGAAACAAUAGUAUGGAUCUUUUUUAUGAGCAUUUCUUCGGGGUACUGCUGACUGAAGAACUAACUUCCUAUGCUUGCUUAUUGUUGAAUGCAGGUUUUAAGUUGGAAACCACGAGCUUACUAUUUUCCCAACUUUGCAACUUCAGAACAAUGUGAACAUGUAAUAGAAAUGGCAAAGGUGAACCUUAAACCAUCUGGUUUGGCUUUGCGCGAGGGAGAAACUGAAGAAAGCACAAAAGGAACUAGAACAAGGUGCCCCUUUAUGCAAUUAUUUCUAUUUUUAUUGUCGGUUUCUUGUUGAUCUUGAGUUG